rnacentral:lncRNA from 1 species
GGCUUUGUUCGACCCGAUCCCCUCCUCCUUUAUUCAUCAUCUCCGACUCAAGAUCCUGGAGCAUCUGCUGUGCCCUCUCAUAGGCCUUAAGAUGGGAAUCUACCCCUCUUGGUCCAUCAGCCACUGCUGGUUUCACUCUUCGCAAGGUUUCUUUAGCCUCCCCAAUUCUACCUUGCUUCAUCAAACAAAUACCCAGGUUACACAUCUUGUUAUUAUCGGCAGCAAUCGAAAGUGCCCGCCGAUAAGCAUCUUCUGCUUCGAUAUAGUUGUUUUGCUGCAUCAAUGCCCAGCCCAAGUUUCCCUGAAAACGGAAAGUUUCUUAAAUUCAUGUAUCCGUUUUAAGGUUUACCAGCAAAGAUGAAAAGAUUGAAGGCUUACCAGAAACCGUGUGGCUUCUUGCUCGACAGAGACCUGAAAUUUCUUUCCUUGAGAUCGGGCUGUCUUGGUGCGCUUUCCAUUGAAAGCCAGUCCUUGUUGAAUCAAAUACAAUUUGUGCUUCAACAAUGCUAUUUGGUCAUCCAACCUUCCACAUCUCUGUAGAAUUAUAAUAACCAUCAUCUGUUAAAGACCAAUACAAGUUUAUAUAAUAUUUAAUGUUUACAUUGGUGUAACAAGACCUUGUAGAGAUCCAAUAGAAUGUUAUCAAGAGACUCCUGCGCUUGAUCUGAGCAUCUACUACGCAGAGACUUGAUAGCUUCAAUGGCUUCCUCUGCUCUAUUUUGCUGCUUCAUUACAAUGGCCAUGUCUUUCAAAGCACUAUCAACUCUAUCCCCUGCAUUUAUGGCUGCCCAAAACAAAGGAAUCGCCCUCUCCGGAUCUUUUUCUACCAACUGAAAACAAAAGUAAAAUUAAUAAAGAAGAUUUCAACUCUUGUACAAUCAACUGGAAGACACCCAGAAACUUACUUGAACGUUCUUGGCUCUAACAUAAGGAGUGUCACCGACUGGGACUUUGUGGAUGGCAUGGAAGGACUCGGAGCGAGUUCUCAGAACCCCGAGGGGCUUUGCCGGAGAAGUGGGGGCCGAUUUAGAAGGCCUGAAUCCAGGAGGAGCGUUCCACACAUCUUGCAACAUUUUCGAAAACCCACUUUCUUUUUCUGAUUUCCUUUUAGUAUUUAUGAAAUUUGAUAUCGAAGAUGAUGAAAGAUAAGAGGGGAGUUUCUGAGAGAAGCGAAGCGAGUGCCAGGAAAAGAAUAGAACCGAUUUAGAGAGAGGUUUUGGGAUAAAUUUUUUUUUUGAAAUUUUCGACCGUUGUGGUUACCGUUUUGGGUACUAGCCGUUGGCUAAAGCAUGGACUGAACAGGAUUUCUUUAAUAAUUUAUUUAGCCACAUAAGAAAUAUUUCAUAUUAUUAUAUUUAUGGUUAAUGUACUAAUUACCCUAAAAUUGCACCCAAUUAUCACUUUGACACUUAAACAACUUUUUUUUAUCAGUUUACUGCUUGAAAUUUUCAUUUCGUUAUCAGUUUUACCCAGCAGUUAAUGACAUUAAAAAACUUUAUUUUCUUAAAAUAUUUUUUUAAAAAAGAAAUACGGAAAAAAUAGCAGAAAGUUCAGAAGAAUUCUAUUUUUUUAAAAAAAAUCACAAUAAUACACAGAAUUAUAUAAAAUCCCAGAAAUUUUAAAAAUAUUUAUUUUUAUUUUUAAAAACACAUUAAACACAAUAAAGAGAAAAUAAAAAAUUUAAAGAAAUAAAAAAAAACUUAACAAAUGAAAAAUAUAUGGGAAGUUAUAUAACUUUUUUAGAAAUUUAAAAAUAUAUAUUUCUUUUUAAAAAACACAUUAGCGAAAAUACAAAAAUUGUCAAAAAAAAUUUUGAAAAAACUUUUUUUAAAAUAAGAACAACUAUGAAAAGCUUUAAAAUCACUUUUUUUUUUAAUGUGUUAAGGGAUUGAAAAUUUCAAAUACCAAGUUGAUACAAAAUAUUAUUUGGAUACCAAAGUGAUAAUUGGGUGCAACUUGGGGGGGGGGGGGGAUAGCACAUUAACCCUUAUAUUUAUUUACCUUCUAAAUCAUGAUAGAGUAAAGUUAGACGCCUGGUGGCAUUCCAGUUUUCCUUCUCCCUUCAGGACCUAUCCGAAAGAGAAUCCAGUAUUUCUCGGUCGUGAAUAUCUGAAUAGGGCGAACCGCCCCGUGGAUAUCUUUGCUUCGGAACAAAAUAAUUAGAAUAGAAUUAGGCUCGGUCAACUAGAGUGUGUAUUAUCCAUAUAUUAUCCAUAUAGGGGAUCCUCCAGUUGAGAAGAUCCAUCGACCUGAGACGAAGAGAAAGGUCUAUCUAUUUUAUUUAGUUAUUCAGUUAAACCAAUGAUUCGUUAGUGGAGCAGAUAGCAACAACCAUUUCAUCCGACAUGCGUAUUUUUUAUUUUCCAAUGGAUUUACAUAGAGUAAAAAUUUGAAAGUUAAAAUGUAUUGUAAGCCAUAUACACUUUGUAUAUUUAAAAUUUAGUAUUUCUAUUUUUAUUUCAAGAAUUUAGUCAUUCUAUUUUUCAAAUUUAAAAAUUCAGAUCUAGUUGUUAUCAUCGUUAUUUUUUUAAAAAAAUAUUGGUGUGACAUUUUAAAAUUAAAAUUUUCUAUUAGACAUUGUACUUUUUGUAAGUUAUUGAUUUAGUACUUGUACUUUUCUUUGAUCAAUUUUAGUCUACAUACUUUUCAAGUUGGUUAAUUUUAGUCCUUGUACUUUUCAAUUUUUGAAAAUUUAGUCUUGACCAGAUGGCAACAGUUAAAUUCUACUAUUAGUCUUGUAUUAUGCAUAAAGUUAGAGAUUUAGUCCAUGUUCUCCUUAGUUGCUAUUUUUUUUAAUUUCAAAUUUUUAAUUUUGUAACACCCUUUACCCAUUUCAAUCGUUGGACCAAAGUUACGAAAUGUUACCAAAGUAAUCGAAACUAAAAACUUUAAAAUUAAAGCAUGCAACAUUCGCUCCUAUCUCAAUUGUAAUCAUAUGAUAACUUUCAAAUAGAAAUCGAGACCAAAUCAAGCUUACGAAAGCUCUAUUAGUGACCCGGGCAUGACUUAGGACCAAAUUGCAAAAUUUUAAAAGUUUAAACUCCACAUCAUGAUGAACCAUUCCUACGUCGUGGUGUUGUCAAGAUAGUGAGUCAUGUCAAAAUCUCGGACCAUCUAAUGUCGGGAUGUCACAUACUUUCUUUUGACAUUUCGAGGAGGAGGAUUUCAUAACUAAGUCUAGAAUGAACAAAAGACUAUUGAAUCGAAGAUUGAAUAGUGUGAGUUCCGAGUUGGUCCAAUUUUCACAUUCUACAAAAGAUAACUACAUGACAAGAAAACAACAACAUAGUAAGUAUUUAAAAUUCUUAAUAAGUUCAUAAGCAUAGAAUGUUAACUUACCUUAUUUACAAAUUUACAAAUAAUAUCUAAAUAACUUGUCAAUCUAAACCUAAUCAUAACAAUACAAUUCUACGAGAUAAGAUUACAUGUUCACUUCUUAUCAAUUCAUUUACAUGUAACUCUAGAGUAACUUAAUACCUUAAAAGUAUACCAAGGUUAUUACAAAUUCAACCAUAGACAUGUACAUAUUAUUCCAUAUUGAAAUCAUUUCUCUAUUACUAUUCAUUUAUCCUGAGGAGCACUGGUAAAACAAAUAAGGGCACUGAAGUGCAAUUAAUGGCAUCGGAGUGCAAUCAGGGGCAGCUUUCUUUACAAAUCAGUCUGAAUAUUACCCUUUUGUACUAAUAUAUAUACAACUCAAAUUAUAUAUUCACAUGUAAACUUUAUAAUUCAAUUAUCUAUAAUAAUCAAAUGUAAUGAUGCUAUAUGAACUUACCUGGCAAAAAUCAUGGUAAACAAAAUGUCAGGGGCUAAUAGUAAUUUUCUCUUUUUCUCGAUUAUCUACUGGUUGAUUCAAAUAUUGAUUUAUAUAGUAAUUCAUUUCAAUUUAUCAGUUUCAAUUACCUUAUAAUACCUUAUUCUAUACAUAUGACCUUUUAAAUUUCACUUUGCACAAUUUUCCUAAAGUUUCACAUUUUAUUCAAUUUAUUUCCUAAAAUCAGAACUACCAUAACUUUCACAUUAAAGAUCCGUUUUUCAAUCCAUUUUCAAUUUCAUCCUUCUAUAACCCUCUAGAAUCAAUAAUUACAAAAAUUUCAUAUCAAAUUUAAAUAAUUAAAUCUUAGUCUCUAUACUCAUAACUAGAGAAUUCCACUUUACAAAUUAGUAUUAUAUCACAUCUAGAGGUGUGCAUGGGCCGGGCCACACGGCCCGGUCUGAAGGCCCGCCUGAAAAUUGGGAGGGUUUGGACAAAAAUAUAGGCCUGAAAAAUGAGCUUGGACAAAAAAAUUAGGUCAGUUUAAAAAAUGGGCCGGGCCUCGGGUAAGGCAUUUUUGGCCCGAGCCUGGCCCGACCCGCCCGAAUUCACUACAUGACAAAAAAUCUAUUUUUUAAAUAUUAUUUUCUUAUUGUUUUCUCCCUAUUUUGCUACUAUUUUACUAUUAUAUUGCUACUAUUUUGUUGUUAUUGUUUAAAUAUUGUAUAAAAUUUAUUUUAUUGUUAAUUUUUAUUAUUAUUUUAAACACAUUUGUUAAUUUUGUUAUUAUUUUAGAAGCAUUUGCUUGUUAAGUUGCAUCUAUUUUAGUGUUAUUUAAGUAUACAUAUUUUUUAAAAUUUAUUUUCAAUAUGUUGAGAAAUAUUUAUUUUGAUGUUUUUAGUAUUUUUGAUAGUUUAUAUAUAUUUUAAAAUUAUAUAAAAAAUAAUAUAAAAAUUAAUAUAGGCGGGCCGGGUCGGGCCCGAAUUUUAACAUUUUUAUUCGGGUAGGGCUUGGGCAAAAUUUUAGGCCCAUUUUUUAGGCCGGGCCAGGCCCGGACUUAAAUUUUUAAUUAGACCCAACCCAAACCCGGCCCGGCCCAUGCACACCUCUAAUCACAUUUAAGCUUACAAUCAAACCAUAUAACACCAAAAGCUUUAAAAAUAAUCAAUGAAAACAUUUCAAAGGUUUAAUAGUUUUGCGAUCUAAUCCUCGGAUUAGCUAUAUCAACCUCCCAAGAUUUCAAAAAUAUAAAAACUACAAGAAAUAGACUCGAUUUACCAAUCGAAAAUGGAAGCUUGAACGGCAAAACCCUAAUUCUUUUCUUCCAUGGACGGUUGAAGAAGAAGCAAAAUAAAGAUGGUGGCUUCUUUUUCUUUUGUUUUUCUUUUUAACUUAAAUUAUAACAUAUGUUUUAUUAUUUUAAUCUUUAAAGACAUAAAUUAACUCAUGAAAAUUGUUUAAAUAAAGCCACUAACCGUCCACCAGUAAUGAAAAGUGGCUAAAUUGUUGCUUUGACUCUUACUAUUAUACUAUUUAGCAGAUUUAAUUAAUAAAAAAUUUAUAGCGAUUAAUUUUUAUGAUUUAGUCAUUGUACCUUAAUUACUAGCUGUUCAAUAAAAUUAUUGGAUCAAAAAUUAAUAUAACAAUAUAAUAGACUCAAAAAUAUUAAUUAAUAAUAUUUACAGACUUGAUCAUCUAAAAAUGGGGUUUUGAAAAUAUCGUUUUUGACACCACUGAAAAAUGAAUUAUUAGAACUUUAAUGUAAACGACAAUCAUUAAUCUAUUAACUAGUUUUUUGUGAGUAAUGUGAGAUGAUUACAAGCUAACAUGACAUUACAAAUGCGAUAAUAUGUUUGAAGCAUCAAAUUUUGAAAAAAAAAAUUAAUAAAUUUAAUAGUUACCAUUUGGUUAGGAAUAAAAUUUUAAAAUUCUAAAAGUAUAGGGAAUGUAAGUAACCAAAUUAAAGUAUUAAAUCCACAACUUGCCUAAAGUACAAGGUCUAAUAGUAGAAUUUGACAAAAACAAUUCACUUGGUAGUUAUGUAGUUUAAAAUAUGCCAUAAAUCAUUGUACUCUUUGUAAAUUUAGAAUUUAGUCCAUGUUCUUUUAUCUCUAUGAAUUCAAUCUCUCUACUUUUUAAAUUUUAAAAUUUAGGUCCAAUUGUUAACAUUAUUAAAUUUAUUUUGGUAAAUUCAUAUUCAUUACAACGUUAUUCUUUUAGGGACAUUUUUUUAGUUAAAUGGCUACCAAGUGAAUUUUAUUUUUAUUUCAAAAUGUCAAACCAAGAAAUUUAAUGAAAAAAAUUUAAUGCUAUUAACAAUUUGCCCUGAAUUUUAAAAACUAAAAGUAGAUAGGACUAAAUUCUUGAAAUAAAAGUAUAAGGAUUAAAUUCUAAAUUUGUGAAAAGUACAAUGACUGAUGACAUAUUUUAACCUUGUGUUGUUACAAAAACAAAAUAACAUUGAAAACAAGGGCGAAGCCAGAAACCCUUUUUUGGGGUCAAGAAGGGGGGAUUAUGUUAUAUAUUUAUGUAGGCAACAUUAGUGCUCCUCCGACCAAUCUUCAUGUCUUGGCUCCACUAUGAUUAUUCUCAAUGUGGGGCAUGGAUGUCAUUGGUUCUAUCUCGCCAAAAGUUUUUAAUAGGCAUUAAUUCAUCUUUGUAGUAAUUGACUAUUUCACUUAGUAGGUUGAAGGAACAUCAUACGCCAAUGUGACACGGUCAGUGAUUUGCAAGUUCUUGAACAAAGAGGUUAUCUAUAAAUUGUUGGAAAAAAUCCAAUUUGAAAACAGUUUUCUAACACACCAGAAAACUAAAAUUUUUAAAAUUGACCCGGUUUGUAAUAUCUAUAGCAAUAAACCCUAGAUCAGAAUCAUACUUGUGUUUCUGAUAGAUAAGUCCUUGUUGUUCUCGACUUUCAACCAAAUGAUAUUCUCCGCUAUUCUUGCACCAUGAACUGCUUCAAAUGUGGGCUCGAACCAAUUGAAUCAAAACACAGAAUUAGAAAUUAUUCUCUUUUAUGUGGAAAGAAAAUUCCUCUUCUCAAAUAGAAAUCAGUAGAAUUGUUAUUCUGGAAAAAUAUAUUUAAUAGUUGAGAAUAAAUUCUCUUUAUUUUUCGACAGAGUAACAAUAUCUUAAAGUUGUGAAAAUAGCUCUACUGAUGUCAUCUAUUUAUAGGAAGAUAAAAUAGAACCCUAGUUGAAUUGUGGGAGUCUAUUUCAACUAGAAAAACAACUUCCCACUUAAAGUAGGAGUAGGGUGGACAGCAGGGUGGACAGCAUCCUCUAGUAUUUCUACUAGGGUUGCCGCACCUUCAUAUUCCAUUAGGGGAUUUUAGGCUUCUCUGACAUCGGGUCCAAUUAUGAGUACUUCCUGGACUUUUCGACCCAAUACUUUGUAAUUUGAUCCAACCUGAUUUUGUUUUUCUAUUCCCCUCCCCCCCCCCCGCCAAAAAAAAUCCAAUAUUUAUAUUCAAUUAAAUAAUUUUGUCAUCCCAAUUUUACCUUUGGUAAAAUUAUGAAAAUCUUACCCUUGGUAAAAUUUUCGAGAAAAUAUAUUUAAUAUUUCACCAUUCAAAUUGUUCACUAAGAUCGGAUGGUUUAUUUUCAUUUUUGAGAUUUAAAAUAACUCAAAUAAAUAAACUCAUUCUUCUGAUCAUUUCUAAGUCAUCCAUAUUCAUUUGCAAAUGAAUCAUUUCUCAUUUCCAUUUCGAGAAAACCACAUUCAUUUUCGCAUGAUUUUAUUUCUCCAUUUCGGAGAAAAUCAUAACCAUUUCUAAAUGUUUUCCAUUUCUCCAUUUCUAUUCAUUCUGUUCAUUUUGAUUCAACAUGCAAUUCAUUUUUGGUUUUAACGAACUAGCAAAGGGAUCGAUUGGACAUAUGAAAUUGAGACUCAAAUGAUUUUUAAUUAAGUUUCAGAUUUUCACCUAUUAAUUAUAAACUCAUUUUGUCAUUCCACUAUAGUAUCAUGACUGAGCUCUCCCCAACAACAUAACAUAAUGAAAGCAAUUUGAUUAGUGCUCGUCCAAUGACCUUGUCAUGAGUGUGUUACCAUCAUAGGAUAUCCUAAAUCUCCUUUGGGAUAAUAUUCAUUCUCCCAAUAUGAUCUCAUUUUAUCUCAUAGUAACCAUUACAUAUUCCUUCAUGAAAAUCAAUUACUAUCAAAUAGUAAUCAAGUCAUUCAUCACAAAAACGAAUGACCCAUGAUCACGUUUACUUUUCAUCAACCAUGUAAUGUUAGUAAGAAGAUGUCAUUUAUCCAUGUCUUAGGCUAUGAAUUCCACUAUUGUAGAUGACACUACAUAUUACAAAAGUCGUACACUGAACGCAUCAACUUUCGGUUCCUUAUUUAUUCAAAAUCAGGCUUUUACUUACAUCAAAAUGUACGAGUCACGCAUACAUAGUCUGUCAUCCACUUAAGAUUUAGGUAUGUCAAACUAUGAACGUCACAAGUGAAAAAAAUCCAUAAAUAGAUUCAGGAUCUAUUCUUCUUGGGUCCAGUUCGAUGUACUAUCAGUUCAGUCAGCCACAUCUAUAUCUCUAUCUUCUGGGACUCAUCUGCUUCUAUAACACCCCUUACUCGGUCCGAUUGCCAAACCCAAGCUAUAGGAUGCUAAAAUAGUUAACGGAGCAAAUCGCAUACAUUUCCAACUUUAAACAUUUAAUUAAUCACUAAAAACAAUUCAUAAUCUAUGCAUAAUAUGAUUUACAAAAUAUUCUGAGUCUCAAUCAAGCUUAUGAAAGCUCUUAAACAACCCGAGAACAAAUAAUGACUUAAUUGAAAACUUAACAAAAAGUAUAAAAAUUCUGCAAACAGUGGUCACACGACCAUGUAAUAAGUUGUGACCGUGUGAAAAGGAGUUGCACGGUUGUGUAUCCAGGCCGUGUAUCUCACUGUAGCCAUGUGGACCGAAAUGCAAAAAUUUAACAAAAUCACACGGUCGUGUAACAAAAUGAAACCAUGUGAAAAUUAUAUGACCAAAUCAGUAGUGCUCACAAGGACGCGUAUCCAGCCCGUAUGACAAUCGAGAAUCGUGUGGUAUGUAUGCUAUAACACCCCUAACCCGUCUCCGUCGCUGGAUUAGUGUUGCAGAGUAUUACUAUAUAAUCGAAAACAUUUGAACAUAAUAUCAUUCAAUAAUUUAGUCACACCAUAAAUCAUUCAUACACAUGUAUAUUGCCCCUAAAUCGAGCCCUCGAGACCUUAAAAAUAACUUAGAAACAAUUCGAGACCAAUUUAAAAAAUUUUGGAAAGUUUAGGAAAAAAGAUGCAAAAUUUGAAAAAUCACCGUGUAACUUUCAAACUAAGGACACACAGCCGUGUCCCAGCCCAUGUCCUCACCCGUGUAACUCUUUGAGUAGGGUCAGUCGACCGUGUCAUACGCUUGUGUGCCAAGCCGUGUAACUCUCUGAGUUGCCCCAUACGUCCAUAUGUCAGGCCGUGUAACUCACUGACUUUCACCUUAAAGAAAUCAUCAGAUGACACACUAAGUCACAUGCCCGUGUUUCAAGCCGUGUAGACCCAAAUCUACCUAAAAUCAAGCCAUUUCCAAAACCAUUUCAUGCAUGACCUUUCAACCCAUUUAAACACACUUUAAAAUACCUAAACAUCACCAAAACACACUUCAAAAUACCAUUUCAAGAUCCUAAUUCAACUAACCAAUAUGCCAUUCAAAGGCACCUCAAAUGCAUACAAACGACACCUACCUAAACAUGUCAGUAUUACAACAUUUCAAGCAUCAUAUCCUAGUUCAAUACUACCCAAAACAUGCCACGAAUUUGACCAUUAUCAUACCAUUCUAAACAUACCAUAAAAAUCCAUACAAACAUGCAUAGUAAGGUAACUAAAAUGACACAAUUUGACAAGGUAUCAAAUGGUACCAAACCAAGAUAACUUUCAAAACUUAUGCAUGCCAAAACACCAACAAAACAUUCAUCAAAAUACCAUUACAUCUCAUCCUAUACAUGCCAUUAUAAACCUUAACCAAAAUGCUCAAAAACUACCGAAAAGACUUCUGGAUAGUAUGAUAGAUAUCCGACGAGCUUCCAAACCAAUUGAGCUUCCGAUAAUCUAUAAAACAAAAGAAAAACAACUACAUAAGCAUUGAAUGCUUAGUAAGCUCGUAUAAACCAAACUAAACUUACCAUUUCAUUUGCAUAAUAUAAAGCAUAAGCAUAAAAUCAACCAUAACCUUAAGCUUGGCAUAAGCCUAUACAACAUCAUCAAAUUCACAAGUUAGUACACUUGUUCAUAUAUAUAUAUGAUAUCAUCCAUAGGAUAUAUAGUUCAUCAUGUAUAAACAUAACAUUUUGCACCUUCAAUGUUCUAUAAUGUCAUGAUUCAUUGUAUUUACAUACUUACUGUUUCCUUUUUCCUUUUCUUGCUCGUUGAACCAUCUAGAAUUACAUCAAAUACUCGGGAAAGUAUCCUUUCCUUUACAUAUAACUGUAACCUUUUCUUUACAUCAUUGCUCACACGAGCUAUGAAAUGGGUCUGCUCACACGAGCUGUGGGUCGGAACGUAAGUUACAUGAUGCUACACACGUGAGCUGUGGAGAAUCUGCAACAAAUGCAUGACCUCAGCCAUCAGUAGGACAUUCAAGAUCAGUACCUAAAACAUGAAAUCCCUAAUGACAUGUCAUUUGUAUCCUAAGAAUUCUUAAGGUUCAAUCGGGACUCAAUAUUCGUCAAUUCAUCUUAACAUAUCAAUCCAUUUGUAUUAAAAUAACAUAGUGAAAAUUCAAUUCAAAUAACACUAAUACAAUAAUCAUUCAUACGAACUUACAUCGAUGACUAGGGUAUGGAAGUUAGGUCGAACUAAUUCGAAGCUUUUACUUUUCCUCGAUCUAGGUCUGUAUGUGGUUUAUCUUGAUCUAAAUGGAAAUUUUCAAUCAAUUUAAUACUUCUAGUAUUCAAUUUAAUCCACACUUCAUAUUUAUGAAAAAUUACCAAUUUGCCCCUAAUAUUUAACUUUUUACAAUUUAGUCCUUAAGCUCGUAAUUUGAAAUCUAACCAUUUUCAUCCUCUAUUCAAGCUAGCCAAAUUUCAUAAGGACCUAUACCAACUCAUUUAAACCAAAAUUUCAUGAUUUUAACAUGAAAUUUUACUAUAUUCACAAAUAGAUCCCUAAAUGCAAUUUCAUCAAAAAUCACUUAACAAAACUUGUUUAUUUUUCAACAAAGAUUCAUAAUCCAUCAACUAACAUCAAAACCUAACCAAAAAAUUCAUGGAAAGUCUCUCAAACUUUAACAGUUUUUCAAACUAAUCCUUGGGCUAGUUAGAUUAAGCUAAAACAAAUUCGAAAAUAUAAAAAUCAUUAAAAACGGGGUUGAAAUCACAUACCAUGCAAGUGUUUAAGCUAACCAAAACUUCAAGCCCUAAAAUGGAAGUUUUUUUCCUUAUUUCAGUGGAGAAAAGCAUUGUAGAAGAUGAUGCAAAUUUUUACCUAUUUUUAGUUUAAGUUAAUUUAUCAAAUUGCCAAUUUAACCUUAGUCAUUAACUUUAAUAAUCUCUUAAAUUAUGUCCAUAUUUGUCCACUAACCUUAUGAAUGGUAUAAUUAUCCUUUAAGUCCAUUUACUAACAUUUUCAUAUUCAUUUAGCCCUUUUAACUAGUAGAACUCCACUUCUACACUUUUUACGAUUUAGUCCUUUUUACUUAAUUAACUAUGUAAACUUCAAAAUUUCUUAACGAAAUUUUAAUAUGACCUUAAUUUAAUCCCAAUGAAAUUAAAAUAAUAAAAUAAUAAUUUACUCCUCAAAAUUCUAGUCCCAAAAUCACUGUUCUGAUAUCACUGAAAACGGGCUGUUACAUAUGCUUCUUAAUUUUUAAAGAGCACACAACCGUGUCACUAGCCCUUGUGUGACAAACGACCGUGUGUCAAACGACCGUGUGUCAAACUGUGUGAUGCAAAAACUGCACCUUUUGGUGUAAGCUACUGACAUCAAUACCUUAAUUGGAUCAUCAUGCACUUUUAUCAAUUUUGUGACUUGUUUAAAAUGUACAAUACCUACCAAUACUUACCACAAACAAACAUCCCUAACACUUAACCUUUAUGCCUUAAUGGCACCAUCACAUGUCAUGAAUCAAUUCAAAUAAUUAAUCUCAUUUCAUGCCCAUUUAGACUACAACCACAUAGGUUCACUAUAAACAAUCAAAACACUAAGUUAUAGCUACCUAUAAAUGGCCAUAUUACCAAAACCAACCAUACAUAAAUUUAGUACCAAAUUCACACCCAAGACCUAUGCAAAUUCCAUAUUUAUAUCACUUUAAACAUGCAUCUAGAACCGUACACAAUCCACAUACCAAAAUGCCAUUCAAUUCAACCAUUAGGGGAUACCAAACAACCAUUGAUAUACCUAUAUAGUAAUUAUAAACAUUUUAGCAUUAAAAGACAUUUGGAGACCAAAGUGACAAGUCUCAAAACCAAAAUCAACACUUAUAUACAUUACACAUGUAUUCAUAUCAAAAGUAACUAAUUCAAGUUUCAAUCCACAACAACAUAUACUUAUAGACACCUAUUUACAUGCCACUUAUAACUGUGUCAAAAUUAUCAAAAGUCAACAGAAUUGAUUGGUGGAUAGUGUGAGCUCUGACUUGAUCCAACCGAAUGCUCGAUUUCUAACAAUCUACAAGGAUGAAAAUGAAACAAAGGUAAGCAUACUCAAAGCUUACUAAGUUCGUACAAAAAUUAACACAACUUACUCGGCAUUCUAUAAUUCAAUAAUUGAACAUAAUAAUUAAAACAUUGUACUCCUUAAUACCUUACACAAAUCAUGUCUUAGCCAAUAUGAUCAGUACUGUAUCACAUUUAAACCUAACAUGUAUAUAAGUAUACAUAAUAAUCAUAAUCAAUCCAUGAAUAACAUUCAUAAACAUAUGAGUUCUCUUUCAAUUCAAUUUCAUGGUUUGUGCUGUGAAAUAUCCUUGCUGACACGAGUUAUAAAUCGGGUGAUGCGUCAUUGAGAGCACCAAAAAAUCCUAUCCCUAUAAAAUAAUGAAAAGAAUAGUAUAAGGGAAGUAGGGUCAAAUCUUCAGGGACUGGAUUUGUAGAAGUUCCUGUUCCUCGAGAUCCCAGACAGAGUCAUGCCCAAGAAAUCCUAGUACCUGGAAAAAAAACACAGAAUUAAAAGUUUGAUUGAAUAGAAAUUUCAUAAAUUGAAAUUAAAAUUGUAAAGAUAAACAGAUUUAAGAAAAGAGAGUUUUUUUAUGGAGAGGUUCCAGCCUCCGGUUGUCUCGAUCCUCCUUGGGUUCAAUCCUCAGCUUUUAGAUGAUCCUUAUCAUAACAGAAUAAGCUAGUUAUAGUGGAAGAGGAUGCCUACGACUACCAGCUCUACUUAGAUUUUAGACUUACAAUUUAGAGAACCUGACUCUAACCAACCAUCACUUUUGUGGGACCGUCUUACACUAGAUCAUCACUUCUCGAUGGCGAAUGCCACGCCAUUUUGUCUUUUGGGCUCGAUAACCACUGACGCAGUAAGCUAACGGACCAACUGUGCAACCUUCCCAAAACAUACAAAGCGGCCUUUUUUGCACAAGAUGAAAAGAUCACUUUUGAAGGGACAUAGAUGGAAGCGUCAGUCCCAUAAUGCGAAGAAGCAAUGAAUACUCGUUGAAAAGGCUAAGCACGGAUUCUAAGCCUCAUGAACCCUUUUUGGGGAAUCUCGAAAACCUUUGGCUAGAUGAAUUUAGUGGCUCAUGUUUUUUGGGAAAAAAUAAAUAAACUUAAUAAAAAUGGAAUUUUAUUAAAUAAAUGAAAGGAACAAAGGCUAAGCUUUUUGGGAGAGUAAGCUUUUUCAGAAAAAGAUGAGUAAAAUUUGUGUCACUCUAUCCCCUAUUUAUAGUACUUAGAAAAUGUAACACCCCUUAUCCGUAUUCUACGCCAAAACAGGGUAUGAGGUAUUACGAAACUUAAACACAAUUAAACAUACCAAAAACCAGGUCAUAAAACUUUAUUUCAAAUUAACUAUUAUUCAAACACAUGCUUAAAGUCCCUUAUACGGGCCUACAAUGCCCAAAAUAUACAUUGGAGAUAGAUCGGGACCAAACUAAGAACUUUCAGAGCUUUUAUAAAACUUAAAAAAAUUUAUCAUGAAACAGGACCACAUGCCCGUGUGGAUAGGGAUAUGCCCGUAUGGGUAGGCCAUGUGGUCACACACGCCCAUGUCCCAAGCCUAUGGAGCUCUCUGACUUGCAUUCAAGAAGAAAUUUGAGUCACAUGGCCUGAGCACAUGCCUGUGUUGCGAGGCCGUGUGAUAAUUAAAUUUCACAUUUUAAGUGCAAACUUCACACUGCCGUAUCACACGGUCAUGUUAAAGCCCGUAUGUGUCACAAGGCCAAGCCACACGCUCGUGUGCUAGGCCGUGUGCCUAAACCUGAUGAUUCUUUUCCUUAUUUUUAAGUUGCAGGGGACACACAGCCUUAUCUCAUGCCCCAUUUGGUAGGUCGUGUAUCAUACAUGGCCUAGACACACGCCCGUGUGCCUACCCGUGCGGACGAAAAUAGGCCAUUUAAGGCUGUUUUCCUCACCCUCUUAAUAUUUUCCUGCACAAAUCACAUUUAUACACUAAUAAAGUCCAACCACUCAACUAUUUCAAGCCAAAACAUGUAUAUUUCAUUAUCAAACACAACCAUCACAUUCAAUUACAUACUUAAUCAUUCAUACUAUUACAUUAUUAAAUCAACCCCUAAACAUGCCAUAUAAAUCAAAAAGUUGUUUAACAAAAUCUACCAGAAUAAAUCUAGAUAGUGGGAUCCUCGAUGUAGAUCGAUCCUCCGAAUGUAUAUACGUUAAUCUACAGGAUAAAUAAACAUACACAGGUAAGCUUAUAAAAUAAAUCUUACUGAACAUUUAACAAUAAUCAUAUUUUAUAUAAUUCACUAAUUCCUCCUGUCAAUCACAAAAUCAAUGAUAAGUUCACUUAUUUGGAUUCAAUGUCACAUAAUAACAAAUAUUUUUUUAUUGGGCCCAUUUAUCAUCUUUCUUAUCCAAUUUAGGGAACAAUUACGGAAUUGAGUACUUCAUUAUUACAAUGCCAUAGUAAAACUAUGGUCUUGCACAUAGUCACAUGUCACACACCGAAGCCAUAGCCCAUCCAUGGUCUUACAUGAAUCACAAAUCACAAUGAUGCCAUAUCCCAAAUAUGGUCUUACACAAAAGCACAUAUAUCACCGAUGCCAUAUCCCAUAUAUGGUCUUAUACAGAAGCACAUAAUCAAAUCUCACCGAUGCCAUAGCCCACUAUGGUCUUAUACGGGAGCACAUGUCACACGUUGUCAUGGUCUAACCAAACUCUUUUCCAUCAAUUCAUCUUGAACAUAGAACGAAAGUACCUAAUCCAUCGUCCUACUUAAUUUGCACUUUUACUCAAAUAUUAUUAUUUCACAAUUAGCACGGUUUAAUAACAUUCAUAUACCAUAAUAUACUAUGAAAUGUAUGAAAUUUACCUACCAAAACAUUGAAUUUAGCCAUAUGAACUUACCUGAGCUGAUUUGCAAAAGUCGUAAAAAUUUCAGGGACUAUUUUUGCAAUUUCUCCUUUCCACUAUUCACUUCGUUUUCUUGAUCUAUAAUUAUAAAAUCAUUCCCUCAUUAGCAUCUAUUUCAAUUCUAUUCUACUUCACAAUUUAUGCCCUUUAAUUUUUGAAAUUACACUUUCUCCUAAACUUUUCAAUUUUUACAAUUUAGUCCUUGCUCAAUUUAUUCAUCAAUUGAACUGAUUCUUCUCAAAUAUCAUUUUAUCUAAACAUUAUAACUACUUCCAAGCCUUUGACAUUCAAAUUUUCAAUAUAAAACCCUAAUUGUAACAACUUUCACAAUUAAGUCCUAAAAAUCAAUUCUUAUAAAAUCUCUUCAUAAAUCAUCAUAUAAUAAACUUAGAACCCCAAUUACAUACUAAAUCAUCAUAAAAUUUCAGCUCUUACUCAUGGAAACUUUCCAAAUCAUUCAUAAAAGCAAAAACUAAUGAAUUAGAUAAUAGGACCUAGUUGUAAAAGUCUCAAAAUCACAAAAAUUACAAGAAAUAAUCAAGAAUUGAGCUUACAUGUAGUAAAAUAUGAGAAACCAGCUCUAAGAACUCUGUAAUGGCUGUUUUUGGCUGGAGAAGAUGAAGAAAAAUAUCUGGAUUUUUCAAUUACAUCAUUUUUAACUACUAACCUUUAAGCUAUUUCGAAUUUUGCCCCUUAUUCACAUUGUUUUCUUGUUUAUUACAUGCCCAAACCGUCCAGCAAUUAUCCUUUGAGUCCAAUUGCUCUUUAAGUCCCUCUUAUUUAUUAUUUAAGCUAUUUAAUCACUUCUCACAGUUUUACAACUUAUUCAAUUCAGUCCUUUUUAUUCAAUUGAUUACCGAAAUGUUAAAAUUUCUUAACAAAACUUUAAUACUAACUCAGUAAUAUUCCGUAAAUAUUUCUAAAAAUAUUUAUGGCUCGAUUUAUGGAUUAGAGGUCUCGAUACCUCAUUUUUAUCUCAUUUUAUCUAAAAAUUUCCUUUAAUUCACAAUUUCACUAAUUCAAAAACAUUUUUAAAAUCACACUUAACUUUUACUUACUAAUAUCUAAACUCACCUGUUGGAUUUAGUGAUCUCACAUCACCAUUCCGACAUCAUUGAAAUUUGGCCUGUUACAGAAAACCUAAUAUAUUCUUAAUUAAAUUCUAAAAGAUAAAUAAAGAAAAAUAAAGAUAAAAACUAAAAUUAAAUCUAAAUAAUAAUCUUUAACAAUUAUCGUAAUAUAAUUAAAAUUUAAAUAGAGUCUUUUGUUUAUAAAAUCUCUUCUUUGCACUUUUGCCCCCAAGUCUUUCAUACUUUGCAUUUUUGACACCACUUCUUUCCUAUUUCGCAUGCUGGCACAUUUUAUCUUAAAAUUCAUGUUUUUGCCCCUAAAUUUCCUUUUGCCUUCAAUUUAGUCCCUACAAGAUAAAAAACCAUAAAUAGCUCAAAUUAGUAUGAUCAUACCCAAAAUAAAUAUAUAAUCAAUACAUAAAAAUAUGUCAUUCCAAAGUAUUAUCAAAUUCUCCCCUACUUAGCCCAUGUUUGUCCUCAAGUACGGUUCCUAUCCACUGUGAAAUUUAGAUUUUGCUAUAAAAGAAAUAUCACUCCAAAGUUUUAUAAAAAUUAGACUUAAUGCAUAUGAAAAUAAAGAGAACAUUUAGCUUGCUUUAAGUAAAAUUGAAAAAGUAUUCCAAUUUAAUCACACAAAAAUCAAAAUCAACUUGAACUAUUUCAUGAAAAUUAGGUAAUUUACUAAACUUACCAAGACACCCUAUUUGUUUCCGGCUUUAGUCCUCAAAUGCAAUUUUAUUAUUAAUACAUCUCCCUUUUUUCUUUUCAUUUUUUUGCUUAAGAAUAUAUUGAACCUUUUGAUGCGAAGAGAGAUGAUAGCCAAGCACCCUACCCCGGUUACUCAGCCCAACAUACUCCUAAUUUAUUAUAUUUAUAUAUGUUUUUUUCUUAAAAAUAUAUUAAACCUUUUGAUGCGAAGAGAGAUGACAGCCAAGCACCUCACCCUGGUUACUUAGCCCAACACAUUCCUAAAAAAUUUUUCUUUAAUUCUGGCUAGCGGAGUUUUACCUAACAUGUUACACAACCUUUUGACGCGAAGUAGGAUGACAACCCAAGCACCCUACCCUGGUUACUCAGUUAGUCAUGUUUUUAAGCUGUACUCAUAACCACGGAGACAUUAAAAUUUAUUAUUAUCAUUAAACGAAAUUUUAAUUUUGGAGGACUAGGGAAAACAAUCAAGUGUCAAAAAUAAGUUUCAACAACCACCUAACAGUCAUGAACAUAAUUUUAGCAUGCAAUUAUAUUAAGUGUCCUCUUUGCAUGAAACACCCCAAACCUGGCCUAGACAUUAUGGUCGAAUCCGGAAGUGUCACAUGAAAUGGGUUGAUAAACCAUUGUAAUUAAGUUAAAACCUUACUAGUUCAUUACCCCUUAAAGUUGUUAUUAAUUUCAAAGUUUUCUUUCAUUAAACCAUUUAGAGAUAAAACGUGUUUAUUGCAGAAGGUUGUAAAAACGUUGUGUCUAGAAAACCCUUUCAAGAUUUUAAAAAACCAUCAUAGUUAUAAAUAAGUAAAAACCAAAAACCAAAAACCAACGUCAAAUUUUUUAAAAGAGUCCAGAGUCCCAGAAAAUACAACUACAAUGCCAAAAUUUAUUACACCAUAAACAAAAUGAAGCAAUAAAAUUGGUGGUCACCGUCGAGUCCUUCGCUGCACUGAUCCGCUUAAGACUGUGGGUUACCUGUACAGACAAAUAGAAAAGGAGUGAGUUUACGUAAACUCAGUGUGUAACCCAAUAGAGUUAAGCAUGUACACAUACAGAAUAUCACAAAUUCGACAGAUUCACAAUUGGGCUUGUGCCCAUGUCAGAUAUAGAUACAAAUUCAGGCCUAAGCCCAUUUUAGAUACAGAUACAGUUACAGAUAUGCAAAUUAAAUAUCAGAAUCCUACCUCCAUCCUCUACACACCAUCUCUGACCAUCUCUACACACCAUGUGAGGUUUAAAUCACCCACCUAGCCCUACACACCACGCUGAAUCGAUGCGACACAUAAUAGAUAUAAUGCAGUCAUGAUGCCAGAUAUUAGGCAUAAUAUGUCUUUUGGGACACUUCCUCCAAUAUACAUCAUCCCACCCCAAUCACAGUAACAUAACAUGCAUACAAAAUUUAUAGAUAAAUCAUACUUAACACACUUUCAUAAACAGAUAACAAAUAAACAAACAUAAGUAUGCUCAUGACCAUAUUUCAGUCGAACAGAUCACUUAGUUUAAGGGUUAGAUAGCAAUUACUGACCCUACAAUAGGCCCACAAUCGAUUAGGAUGACCCGUGCGACCCUACGAAGAAUUUCAUUAAUAUAGGCCCACACACCCAGAUUGGCCUAGCCCGUGUGCAUCACACGGCCUGGCCCAGUUAUCACACGUCUGGUGGCGUUCCCAUGUGGGCUCACAUGCCCGUGUGGCCCAUACACCCAAUUUGGUCUAGCCCGUGUGGCCCACACGGCCACACUCCAGCUAUUACACAGCUGUGUCUUACACACGACCUCUCUUUCGUCGAUCACACGGCCGUGUCAUCGCACACAACCUACCACACAACCGUGUGGCAUCGAUAGUGGGGUUUUUUGGCUUUCACCGAACCUUAUUUUUCUGCGUUUUGAGUACACACUUGGUAUCAAUUUGAUGCGAAAACACUCCCGAGACCACCAGAACAUAAAAGCAUCCAAAAGACUAUGAAUUAAUCGCUUAAAAUGAUAAACUAAACUGACCCCAAAUGAGUUAUUCAGCAAAUUGGGCAACCAAACCUUACCUUCAAUCAAACAGCAGUAACUUCCACACAACUGAGUCCUCGACGAAUGAUUUCAAACCUCUGAAUCUUCCCCUAAUCAAGAAUAAGUACAAAAUCCCCAUUAAAACACUAACCAUAAAACCUUAAAAUAGUGGCAAAACAGUUACUUACUGAACGAGAGUAAACAAAUAUUGAACAAAAAGGGGGACAAUUGGAAAACCGAAAAGAAGAGGGGGAGCAAGGAAAAAUUCGGCAGAGUAAGAGGAAAACGAGACGUAAAAACUGGAAGAAUUUUAAGGAUUUUGAGAAAAAUAAAAUAAAAUAAAAUAAAAAUAAACAAAAUUUAUCCCUAAAUCUCUCAAUUUAUUCCACUAAUCACACUUGUGCAAGGAUUCUAACACAAGACUUCCAGCAAACCCACACUCCACCUAACCACCAAACCAGUAGGCCCAUUCUGAUAUGUUUUUACAAUUAGUUCAAUAUAAGCCUACUGAGCAAGUAAAAGGGUUUAAGUCAGAAAAAUUCCAAAAAUUACGAAAGAUAAGGCUUGAACUCAAGACCUCACAUACACACCUAGAACACUUAACCACUGAAGUAGAUAUACAGUUGUAUCAAAAUUAUCCAGAAACCAAAAUAAAAAUAUUGGGGCGAUACAAAUCUACCCCCUAAAAGAAAUUUUGACCUCGAAAUUUACCUAGUCAGAAUAGAUGAGGAUACUGUUGACGCAUCGAGUCCUUAUGUUCCCAUGUGGCCUCCUCAAAGUUAUUAUUCUGCCAUAGAACCUUUACUAAUGGAAUGGACUUCCUCCUUAGAACCUUAACAUCUCACUCUAGAAUCUGAACCGGUUCCUUCCUCAAAGGUUAAAUUUGGCCUAAUCUCGAUCUCCUCAAUCGAGGAAACAUGGGAUGGAUCAGAACAAUACCGCCUUAACAUUGAGACGUGAAAUACAUUAUGAAUACAGUCUAACUUUGGAAGUAACUCCAACUGAUAAGCAACCAGUCCUACACGCUUCAGAAUCUGGUAUGACCCAAUAAAUCUAAGGCUUAGCUUGCUCUUACGACCGAACCUCAGAAAUUUUUUCCACGGAGAGACCUUUUGAAACACAAAGUUCCCUACAGAAUACUCAAUCUCAAGUCACUUCAGAUCUGCAUAUGAUUUUUUCCUAUAAGAAGCCACUUUCAGACGAUCCCGAAUCAGUCUAAACUUAUCUUCAGUUUUAGAAACAAAUUCAGGACCCAAAACUCGACGUUCACCCAACUCAGUCUAACACAAAGGAGUACGAAACUUACGAUCAUACAGAGCCUCGUAAGGUGCCAUCUAAAUACUAGUUUGGAAACUGUUAUUGUAGGCGAACUCAGCUAGCGAUAAAUUAUCUUCCCAACUACCUCAGAAAUUAAUCAUGCAACUCCGAAGCAUAUCUUCUAGUAUCUAAAUCACCCUCUCAGAUUGACCAUCUGUUUAAGUAUGAAACGCAGUACUGAAGUCCAACCUUGAACCCAAUGCCUCGUGCAAUUUCUUUCAUAUUGAGAAGUGAAGCGAGGAUUUCUAUCAGAAAUGAUCGAGAUAGGGACCUUAUGUAGACUUACAAUCUCAGAAAUGUACAACUUUGCUAGCUUUUGCAGAGAGUAAUCAGUUCGAACCGGAAUGAAGUGAGUAGAUUUGGUCAAUCGAUCCACGAUAACCUAAACAGAAUCGUUUUUAGUGGGUGUCAAGGGCAACCCACUAACAAAAUCCAUAGUCACUUAUUCCCAUUUCCAUAAGGGAAUCUUGACUGGCUGUAACAAACCCGAAGGCAAUUGGUGCUCAGCCUUAACUUGUUGGCAUGUCAGACAUCGAGCCACAAAGUCAGUGACCUCAAACUUCAAACCCAACCACCAGUAUAGCUCACGAAAGUCGUGAUACAUCUUAUUAUCGCCAAGAUGUAUAGCAUAAGGGCUACUAUGCGCUUCCCUCAGAAUCGACUAUCUCAGGUCCGAAUUAUUUGGCACACAAAUCUGGCCUUUAAAACACAAAAUACUGUCACUAUUCAAUCCAAAAUCUACAGUAGCACCACUGAUCACCUGACAGAACCGUACACCCGGAGUCUCAUCUAUUAUAUGUUUAUCUCGAAUCUGCUCAAUCCAAGUUGGUUUAACUUGCAACUCGGCCAACAAACUCCCAUCGUCGAACAGAUUAAGACGAGCAAACAUCGCCCUCAGAUCAGUCAUCGCCCUACCAUUUAGAGCAUCGGCCACCACAUUAGCUUUACCCGGAUGAUACUCAAUCGUGCAAUCGUAGUCCUUAAGCAGAUCAAUCCAUCGACGUUGUCUAAGAAUCAACUUCUUCUGAGUGAGGAGGUACUUGAGGCUUUUGUGAUCAUACUUUUUUAGUGCAAAGACCACAGCAGCUAACUCAAGGUCAUGCGUCAGAUAGUUGGCAUUAUGCAUCCUAAGCUGACGAGACGCAUAAGCUACAAUUUUACCAUCCUGUAUCUGAACACAACCUAAUCCAACAUGCAACGCAUCACUGUGUACCACAUACUCCUUACCUGAUUCAGGCUGUAUCGGAGCAAGAACCUGAGUCAGAACAUAUUUGAGCUUCUCAAAGCUCGAUUGCUAUGCAUUAGUCCAAAAAAAUGGUACACCCUUACGCAGAAGCUUAGUUAAUGGCGUAGCAAUCAAAGUGAACCCCUCAACGAAAUGUCGAUAGUAUCCCGCGAGACCUUGAAAGCUAUGGAUCUCAGAUACAUUAUUAGGUUAUUUCCAAUCCAACACAGCCUCAAUCUUUCGAGGAUCAACUUGAAUCUCCUCUACAGAAACCACGUGCCCUAGAAAAGUUACUUCAAGAAGCCAGAACUCAUACUUGUUGAAUUUAGCGUACAGUUGCUUCUCACGCAGAAUCUAAAGACUACUCUAAGAUGCUCAUCAUGUUAAUCAUCAGUCUUAGAGUAUACCAAAAUGUCAUCGAUAAAGACCAUGAUGAACUUAUCCGGAUAGGGCUGAAAUACUCGCUUCAUCAAAUCUAUAAAUACAGCCGGUACAUUUGUCAAGUCGAAAGGCAUCGCUAGGAACUUGUAAUGUCCAUAACGAGUCUUAAAUGCAGUCUUACGUACAUCUACCUCCUUAACCCUCAACUGAUGAUAUCCUGAACAAAGAUCGAUCUUAGAGAAUACAGAAGCCCCUCGAAACUGAUCAAAUAAGUCGUCGAUCCUCGAAAGUGGAUACUUAUUCUUAAAGGUCAGCUUGUUCAACUGUCGAUAAUCUAUACACGUCCUUAUGGUCCCAUCCUUUUUCUCAACAAACAGAACUGGUGCUCCCUAACCAGUCCAUACCUAGAAUAAGGUCGAACUCUCCAAACGGAAGCUCUAUCAGAUUAGCCAUAAAUAUCUCCCAUUGCACCUUUAACGGGACAUCCUUAUGUCGUUUACUAACCUGAACAGACUGCCCGAACGGACUUAUCACAGUAACGUCACUAGAAGUACUCUCAAUCGAUAGCCCCAGAUUUUCAAAAACAGAAUAGGCUAUAUAGGAAUGAGUGAAUGUUAUGUCUAUCAGAGCAAAGUAAGGUACAUCAAAAAUAAUAAACGUACCGGCGAUGACAUCAGAAACAUCUCUAUCUUCUCGGCAACGUGGAGUAUAUACCAAAGUAGGCUACCUCAUCUCGGUUUGACCAGCACCUCUGCCCUGUGUUCUCUGUCCACGACCCAAACCAUUACCACCCCUAGCCUGUCCACGGCCCCUAGGUGGCUGCUGAAUCGCUCUUUGAAGCUGUACAGCACCUAAAGCUAGAGCUUGUAUCUGAUUUGUACACUGUGGACACUCCCUAAUACGAUGCUCAAGAGAUCCACACUUCAAGCACGCCCCAAUCCUCCUCCAGCACUCGCCCGAAUGGUGUCUCCCACAGUCACUGCAUGGCUGUAACCCAGUAGGAACAACAGAAGCAACAGGGGUCCCCACUCUAACUAAACCAUUAGAUCUGGCUUUUUUCUUAGGCCUCAGAACAGAACUAGAGGGUGCUUACUCUCUCUUGUUCUUGCCUCUCUCUCGAUCCCUAUUCUGGCGCUCCACGUGCUUAACAUCCUCAGCUAUCUUAGCUUUCUCCACCAGUACAACAAACUCUCACUCCCUUUGUGGAGCAAUUAAAACCCUCAAAUUAUCCCUCAGUCCAUCCUCAAAGCAAAUACACCUCUCAUAUUCCAAUGCCACCAUACCUCGAGCUUAGCGACUCAGCCUUAGAAAUUCAGCCUUAUACUCGGCCACAGAUCGGUCACAUUGCGUGAGAUUCAAAAACUCACGCCUACAAGUAUCAACGUAACUGACCCCCACAUAUUUACUCUGAAAUGUAGUCUUAAAGAAUUCCCAAGUCAGACGAUCAGGCUGAGUGCCCUCCUUAACGGUCAACCACCACUAGUAUGCCUCGUCGCGAAGCAAGGAGACUGCACCCUUCAAUUUCUGCUCUGGGGUACAGUCCAAGUCAUCCAUGAUCUUCUCAGUAGCCUCCAACCAAUACUCAGCCACAUUAGGGGAAACUCCUGUGACACCCCUAAAUAACUCAGCUCCAUUAGACCGGAGUCGUUCAAUUACUAACCUUCAAUCCCCAGAUCUAGAAUUAAGUCCAGCGACCCUCUCCAAUAUCCUCAGCAUGGCUUGGGACAGUGCGUCGUCCCCAGUCAAACGACUUUGAGACCAAGUCUCAGUAACUGGUGACACAAGUGUCUCACUAGUAUCCAGAUUCGGCAUGCUACCCAGAGAUGAGGACUCAGCUCGAGCCCCUUACGGCCUCUACCUCGGCCUCGAAUACCACGUCUACAGAUACCUCGUGCGCUCAUUAUGUAAUUCGGGUUUUAUCAACAUUAAAGUUUUAUGCAUCAGUUUCAGUUUAUUAUCACAGAUAUUUUAUGAGAAGUUCAGAAUCAUUUUCAUAAGUUUCAGUCUCUAACUAUUUUAGUACAAUCUCAAUAAGUACUAUCUUCAGAGUUUUUUGAUGGAGAGAUUCCAGCCUACGGUUGUCUCGAUCCUCCUUGGGUUCAAUCCUCGGCUUUUAGAUGAUCAUUCUCAUAACAGAAUAAGCCAGUUAUAGUGGAAGAGGACGCCUACGACCACCAGCUCCACUUAGAUUUUAGACUUACGAUUUAGAGGAACCUAACUCUAGCGAACCAUCACUUUUGUGGGUCCGUCUUACACUAGAUCAUCACUUCUUAAUGGCGAAUGCCACGCCAUUUUGUCUAUUGGGCUCAACAACCACUGACGCAAUAAGCUAACGGACCAACUGUGCAACCUUCCCAAAACAUACAAAGCGGUCGUCUUUGCACAAGAUUAAAAGAUCACUUUUUAAGGGACAUGGACGGAAGCAUCAGUCCCAUAAUGCGAAGAAGCAAUGAAUACUCGUUGAAAAGGCUAAGCACGGAUUCUAAGCCUCAUGAACCCUUUUUGGGGAAUCUUGAAAACCUUUGGCUAGAUGAAUUUAGUGGCCCAUGCUUUUUGGGAAAAAAAAGAAAUAAACUUAAUAAAAAAGGAAUUUUAUUGAAUAAAUGAAAAGAACAAAGGCUAAGCUUUUUGGGAGAGGGAGUUUUUUUCAAAAAAAGAUGAUUAAAAUUUGUAUCACUCCAUCUCCUAUUUAUAGUACUUAGAAAACCUAGUCUAUUCCUAAUUAAAUUCUAAAAUAAAUAAAGAUAAUUAAAGAUAAAAGCUAAAAUUAAAUCUAAAUAAUAAUAUUUAACAAUUAUCCUAAUAUAAUUAAAAUUUAAAUAGAGUCUUAUGUUUAUAAAAUCUCUUCUUUGCACUUUUACCCCCAAGUCUUCCACACUUUGCAUUUUCGGCACCAGUUCUUUCCUAUUUCGCAUGCUGGCACAUUUUAUGUUUAAAUUCACACUUUUUGCCCCUAAAUUUCCUUUUGACUUCAAUUUAGUCCCUACAAGAUAAAAAAACCAUAAAUAGCUCAAAUUAGUAGGAUCAUACCUAAAAUAAAUAUGUAAUUAAUACAUAAAAAUCUGUCAUUCUAGAGUAUUAUCAUCAAGAUAUUAACCUUUACUUGGUGUUGCUCACAUGAGCUGUGGAGAAUCCACAACAAAUGUAGGAUCUCAGCCAUCGGUAAGGUAUCCAACACUAGUACAUAGUACUUGAUACAAUAUAAACACCGGUACAAAGUACCUGCUCACUUAUAAACCCUAAUGACAUGUCAUUUGUAUCCUAAUCAUUCACCAUGUUUACACGGGCCUUAAUUCCAUAUUUUUUGUAUUUAAAUCCUUUAUCAACUUAAUAUACAUAUAACAUCACCAUUUGCGUUCACAUAUUCACUUAUAUUUAUCAAAACUUUAGUCUUUCAAUAUCAAAGUCAUUAUUUAUUACAACUCAAUCACACAAGAACAUAUGUAUAUAUAUUACGAACAUAUACAAAAAUUAAUCGAAAUAAACCUCAUAUGAACUUACCUAACCAAAAAUGGCAACAAAUAUGACACCAAGGACUAUUUUGCAGUUUUUCAUUUUCCUCGUUUAUUAAUCGAUUGAUUCAUUUCUUGAUCUAUAUAAUAAUUUAAUUAAAUUAUCAUCUCUAAAUACCUUAUAAUGUCUAAAUAUAUGCAUAUGACCCUUUAAUAAAAUUUUAGAACAUUUCCCUAAACUUUAACAUUUUAUUCAAUUUAGUCCCUAAAAUUGAAACUAACAUUUUUUUAAUAAUUAAACCCCAUUUUUCAAUCCAAUUUCAAUUUUAUCCUUUUAUAGCCCUAUAGAAUUAAAUAUUAUAAAAAUUUCAUGUCAAAUUUGGCAUAAUUACAAUUUGGUCCUUAAACUCAAAACUAACUAAAUCCACUUUAGAAAUUAGUCCUACUUAACAUCUAAGCAUAACAUGCAGCCAUUUAUCAUUGCUUCAAACAUAAUCAAUGAAAAAAUUUCAAAACUUUAACAAUUUCGUGAAAUAAUCCUUGGGCUAGCUAAAUCAAGCUCUCAAGAUUUCAAAAACAUAAAAAUUUCAAGAAACGAGCUAGAAUUCACUUACCAAUCACAACCAAAAGCUUUAAGACCUAAGAAAGCUUUAAAAAAUGGUGGUUUCAAUGGAAGGUUGAAGAUGAAAAUAUGAUUUCUCUCUCUUUCCACCUUAACUUAUUUUUUUAGUUUAUUUUAUUUUAUUCUAUUUAAACAUAAUUUAUGAUACUUUUUUUUAAUCCAUCCAAGCUUACCAAACCGUCUACCAUAUUUAAUAUUGGCUUAGUUUCCAAUUAAAUCCCUAGAGACUCCUUAUUUAAUCCUUUUAUCAACUAAAAUUCAAUAGAGACUAAGUUUUACAAUUUUUACAAUUUAGUCUUUAUACCAUAAUUAACCAUCUAAUCACUAAAAUUUCUAAACCAAAAUUCAAUAUAAUGCUAUAAUAGUCUCAUAAAUAUUAAUGAAUAAUAUUUGCUGACUCAAUCAUCGAAAAAUAGGGUUCCGAAACCAUCAUUUUUUAUAUCACUGAAAACAGGUUGUUACAACUUUGAUGCAUAAGACAAAACAUCUCCCAAAUGGACUUGAUAGAUGAAAUAUUAGUCUUUCAAUCAGAAUAAAGACAUGUUUAGAUUCGUUUACUUAUACAAGUUGUCUUUCCAUAUCAUGAUCCAAACACAUCAUAUCGCUCAAUAUUAGUUUAAACAUUAGACAACCAAUGAGCAACAUUUUCUUCCAUUUUGUUUUACGAGCAAAAAUCAUUUAAGGACAAUCAUACAAAGUAUAUUAAUGUAAUCAAUGAAUUUUUUUAUUAAUCAAUUUGUUUGAAAAAAAAUUACAAGUGUGCUUAGAUGAAAAUACUACAUUUAUGACACUAGAUCCAACAUGAAAAUGGUUUGCCAGAAAGAAUCAUUUUAAAUAAUACCAAGAGUUUUAACAAUGUCUUGAUAGAAGAAUUAUGUGCACAAUUUAAGAUAAAGCAUCACAAUUCUGACCAUAUCGGCCCAAAAUGAGCAAAGCAAUAGAGGCUGUAACACCCCUAACCCGUCUCUGUCGCCAAAUUAGGGUUACAAUACAAAAUAGAACAUUUAACAUUAAUAUAGAAUAAUAAUUCAACUUACAAAUCAAUUUUUAAUUACUCAAUUUAAUCAUGGAAAUAACACACAUUUGGGCCUUAAAUCGAGCAUUUAGAACCCUAAAAACAAAUUGGAAACAAUCAGGGAUCAAUUUAAAACAAAUCAGAAAACUAUGGGAAAACAUGAAAAAUUUAAAAAUAGGGGUCACACGGCCUUUAUGACUAGGCUGUGUGACAUAGCUUAGAUGGUGUGGACAAUUGAGGUAGGGUCACACGGCCGUGUCCCAGCCCAUGUGUAUAUUCAAAAUAGGGUCAAAUGAUCGUGUCACAAGCCGUGUACCAGACCGUGUAACUUAUUAACUUGGUACACACGGUCGUGUCUUAGACCAUGUGCCAGACUGUGUGAAACCUACACCUAAAAUAAAAAAAGUGACACAUAGUCGUGUAGCUAGGCCGUGUGUGUCACACAACCGUGUGACAACCCAUGUCCCAGGCCGUGUGCUUCAUAUUUAGCCCCUGAAACAAGCUAUUUCAAGGCCAAACCUUGCCCAACAAGCUACUUCAUUUGUGCAACAUUCGAUGGAUCUAAACACAUUUCAAACACUCAUAAACAUACCAAUUCAAUCAACCUAAUUCUCCUAACCAAUAUGCCAUUCAAAGGCACCUCAUUUAUACCAAAACAACAUCAACCAAAACAAAGCUAUAAUGCCACUUCUCAAUCAAAAAUUAGAGGUAAGAUAGUUACCUAGUAUCAACCAUUACCAAGCCAUUUCAUCAUUCAAAAUAUUCAUAUCAAAAUGACCAUUUGCAUACAGUUUUUAACAUAAACAAGCCAACUAUACUAUAUAGGCAUACAACCAUUUACAAAAGUAACAAAACACAACAAAAGUAUAAAUGACAUUAAACCCUAUACAUGCCAUUUAAAGCCAUAGUUCACAAUAAUAAAAAACUACCAAAAGUGAUCAUGGGAUAAUGUGAUAGGUAUCCCACAAUGUUCCAACCGAUCAAUCCUCCGAUGAUCUAUAAAACAGAAAAAUAACUACGUAAGCAACGAGUGCUUAUUAAGUUCGUAUAAAAUUAAACAAAACCAUACCUUUUUUAAACUCAAUUUAUAGCUUAUGCAUAAAAUCAUUACCAUGCUCACAAGCUUAAUGAAAUCCUAUUUACAAUACCAAACUCACAAGUUAGUAAGUUCAUACAUAACUCAUAUAAUUUCAAUCAUACCAUAAAACAUAUCAUGAAUGAAUUUACAUAUGCACAACAUUCAUUACAUUUUUGGUUACUUCCAUUUUCAAUCUAUUUGUAUUUAGCAAAUUUACUUUUUCAUAAGAUUUUAAACAACUAUCAAUUUGCAAACAUGUCUUUCUAUUAUUCAUUUCUUACCCGUUGAACCAUUUAGAAUUUCAUUGGAUACUCGAGAAUGCUCACACAUAGUGUUCCUGUUCAUGUAAUCGUAACCUUUCCUUUUAAAUAGUGCUCAUAUGAGCUAUAAAGAGGGCCUGCUCACACGAGCUGUGGGUUGGAAUGUUAGCUACACGAUGCUGCUCAUACAAGUUGUGGAGAAUCCGCAACAAAUGUAGGACCUCAGCCAUCGGUAGGACAUUCAAGACCAACACCUAAAACUGUAUAGCCUUUAUGACAUGUCAUUUGUAUCCUAAUAAUUUUGAAGGUUCAAACGGGAUUACUUAACCAUCAUCGGUCAAAACAUCGUGAUAUUUUUUAGUUUAAUUAUAUUCAACAUAUUUUAACAAUUAAUCAAUCAAACUACAAUUAAUAAGAUUAUAAUUCAUACGAACUUACCUAGCUACUAGGGGUGUGCAAAUUUCGGGUAAAACCGAAUUAAUUCGAUUAAUCGGUCGGUUAACUGAAUAAUUUGGUCGGGGGGUCAGUUAAUAAUUUUUUGAAAGUUUGGUUAACAGUUAAUUCGGUUCGAAAUUGUCGAUUAACUAAAUUAACCGAAUUUAAUAAAUAAUAUUAUAAUAUAUAAGUAUUCGGUCGGUUCGAUUACUUUUUUGGAAAUAUAGAUUAAUCGGCCGAUUAAGUUGGUUAAUUUUUUAUAUGUUUUAUACUUGUUUUAACCAAAAUUAAAAAAAAUAUAAAUUUCGGUUAACCGACCGUAUUAACUGAAAAAGUUUGGUUCGGUUAAUUAUUUUUGAAAAAAUUUUGGUUCGGUUAACGGUUAAGGUUUUAAAAGGGUCGGUUAAUUCGGUUAAUAGUAGUUUAGGUCAGUUAACCGAUUGAACACCCCUACUCAUUACCACGAUCGUUUUAAUAGUGUCAAAAACUAAUCCAACACCUUAAUUUUGCUUCGAUGUAAGUCCAGUUGUUGCGUAUCUUGAUCUAAAUAAUAAUUUCAUUCAAUUAAGUACUUCAAAUAAUUCAAUUAUUCAAUUCAAUCUAUAAUUCAUAUUAUCAUGAAAUUACAAAAUUACCCCUCUUAUUUUAAUUUUUUCACAACUUAAUCCUUAAGCUCAUAACUUGAAAUUUCACCCUUUUUUCCUACCUAAAAUAUGUUAGCCGAAUAUUCACUAUACUCAUAUCCAUCCACAUUUUUCUUCCUUCUACAAAAUAAUAUGAAUUUCGCCAUUUAAACAAUUUAACCCCUAAACCUUAAAUUCUCUAAACAUUACUUAACAAAACAUGUUCAUUUAACAAUUAAAAUUAAUAAACUAUCAAUUAACAUCACAAACACAUUAAUCUCAUUCAUGGCAUAUCCCUUAAACUUUAACAGUUUUGCAAAUUAACCCCGGGCUAACUAAGUUAAGUUAAAACGAGCUCAAAAACAUAAAAAUUAUUAAAAACGGGGUUCAAAAUCUUACCAUGCAUAAAAAAUUGCUUGACCAAAGCUCUCCCCUUUUUUAACAAUGGUGAACGGUUUUUAGGGCUAUGAAAUUGAUAAAGAUGAUGUCUAAUUCAUCUUUUUUUAAUUAGUCUUAACUUGUUUUAUUUAAUUACAAAACUAACCUUUAAAAUCUAUUAAAAUUUCACCUAAAACCUUACCAUAAUUAUCCACUAACUUGAAAUAGGGUAAUAUUACCAACUAAAUUCUUUUGAUUUAUACUUCUAAGGCUAUUUAAUCCAUUUAAUUAAUUGAAACCAUCUUUUAUAUCUUUUACGAUUUAGUCCUUUUUACCUAAUUAACCAUUUAAACUUUAAAAUUUCUUAACAAAAAUUUAAUAUUACCUUAAAUUAAUCCUAAAAAAAUUAAAUUAAUAUUAAAAUAGUAACUCACUCGUCAGAGCCGUGGUCCCGAAACCACUAUUUCUGACACCAUUGAAAAUGGGUUGUUACAGAGGCAAUGAAUAAAAACAUCAAGAAGAUUAUUUCCAAGGCCACUGAAACAUAUAAGGAUUGGCAUAAGAAACUCUCAUUUGCCUUGCACACAUAUCAAACAUUUUUUUAGGACUUAUACUAGGGAAACCCCUUCUAGUGUAUGGUAUGGAAGUCAAAAUUUUGUUGGAUCUGGUUCUCUAAGUGUAGUAUUUUCGUCUAAGUACACUUGUAAUUUUUUUGAGCAGAUUAGUUAAUAAAAUUAUUCAUGAAUUAAAUUAAUACUUUUUAUAAUUGUCCUCAUGUGGUUUUUGUAUGCAAAGAAAGAUAGAAGCAAAUGUUGCUCACUAGUUGUCUAAUGUUUAAACUAAUACUAAGCGGUAUUAUGUAGUCGAAUCGUAAUACGAAAAGACAAAUUAUAUUAGUAGAUGAACCUAAACAUGUCCUUAGUUUAAUAGAAAAUGAGCAAAUUGAUUGAAAAAUUAAUAUGUUGUCUAUCAAGUCCAAUUUGAGAGAUGCUUUGUGUUGGGCAUCAGAGCGGAUGACUCUCAGAAGAUAGAGAUAUAGAUGUGACCAACUAGACUGACAGUACAUCAAACUAGACCCAAUAAGAAUAAAUUCUAAAUCUGAUUAUGGAUUUAUUCACUUCUGGCGUUCAUAGUGUGGCAUACCUAAAUCCUGAGUGGAUGAUAGACUACGUACGCAUGACUCGUAUACUUUGAUGUAAGUAAAAACCUGAGUUCAAAUAGAUAAGGAAUUGAAUGCUAGUGUGUUUGGUAUACGACUUCUGUAGUAUGUAGUGUCAUUCACAACAAUUGAAUUCAUAGCCCAAGACAUGGGUAAAUGAUAUCCUCUCAUUGGCAUUACAUGGUUGAUGAAAAGUAAACGUGGCCACGGGUCGUUCGUCUUUGUGAUGAAUGACUUGAUUACUAUUUGAUAGUAAUUGACGUUUCAUGAAGGAAGAUGUAAUAGUUACCAUGAGAAAAAAUAUGGUUAUAUUAGGAGAACAAAUAUUAUCCCAAAGAGAUUAAGGAUAUUCUAUGAGGGUAACACACUUAAUAACAAGACGAGCAUUGAUCGGGUUGCUUUCGUAAUGGUAUGUCGUUGGGGACCUCAUUCACGAUACUAUAAUGGAAUGACUUCAUGACUAAAUUAGGUUAAAAUUAAUAGGUGAACAGUUAGAACUUAAUUAUAAAUAAUUUGAGCCUCAAUCGUAUAUGUCCAAUCGAUCCUUUCGCUAACUUGUUGAAACCAGAAAUGAAUUGCAUGUUAAAUCAAAUGAACAGAAAUGAAAAGAAAUGGUGAAAAUAUAGGAAUGAGAAAUAUUUAGAAAUUAUUAUAGUUUUCUCCAAAAUGAAAUAUGGAGAAAUGAAUGUGGUUUUCUCCAAAAUGAAAAUAAAGAUAAAAAUGAAAAAAUGAAAUUAUUUAGAAAUAAAUUUAUAUUUUUCGAAUUAAAUGAAGUUCAAAAAUGAAAAUAAAUCAUUUGGUUAUAGUGAACGGUUGAAUAUGAAAAUAUUAAAUAUAUUUUCUCAUGGAUUCCUUUACGGUAAAUUCAUCAUGAUUUUAAUGGAAUUAGAAUUUAAUUGAGAAGAUUACUUAAUUGGAAAUAUAUUAAGAUGUUUAUUUUGGGAAAUAGAAAAAAAGGAUUGGGUUGGAUAAAGUUAUAAAGUAUUGGAUUAACAUUCUAGGAAGUACUUGUAAUUGGACCUAAUAUGAGAGAGACCCAAAAGCCCCUCAUGAUAAUGGUGGGACGACAAACCCUAGUAUUUUUAACUAGGGUUGUCGCCCUCUAUACUCCUAAAAAGACUAGGAGUUCAUUUUUCUAGUAGAAAUAAACUUCUACAAUUCAACAAGAGUUCUACCUCAUUUCUCUAUAAGUAGAUGGCAUCGAUAGGGUUAUUUACACAACUUUAAGAUAUUGUUACUCUAAUCGAAAAUAUAGAGAAUUUAUUCUCAACUAUUAAAUCUAUUUUUUUGAAUAAUAAUAUAUGUCGGUUUCUAUUAAAAAGGUAAUUUUCAUUUUUACACUUAAACAAAGAAAACUAUUUCUAGUUCUGUGUUUCGACUUGAAUCGUUCGAGCCCAUACUCAAAACAGUUCAUGGUAUGAGAAUAGCGGAAAAGGUUGUUUGGUUGAAAGCCAGGAAUGAAAAGGAUCUGUCUAUCCGAAAGCACAAGUGUGAAUUCAAUUUAGAAUUUACUAUUAUAAAUAUCACAAACCAGCUCGAUUUUCAAAAUUUUAAUUUUUCGUUAUGCAAGAAAAUCAUUUUCGAACCGAAUUUUUUUCCAACAAAUUCCUUCACUUCAGAUAUUAAGGGGAGUAUAGUUAGAAGAAGCCAAAUAGGUACAAGAAUGAUGUGAGAAGUUGAAUCUAAUUGAAGAGAAGAGGUUGGUAGUAGAUAUUGUGCAGCCAAGAUGCCAGAUAAUAGGAGAUGAUCGCCGUACAGAACAUUUCCUCUAUCAAUACAAAACAUGUUGUGUACAAGUAUCAAAAUAAUCAGACAUGCAUGGCAUAAUCAUACUCAGAACAGAUUAUCAGUCUAUCAGACCUAUAGUUUUGGGGUUUGGUUAGCCCUUACCAACUCUACGGUAGGCCCACAGUAAAUUGGGACGACCAGUGAAAAGAAAUUUCAAAAAUUUGGGCCCGUGUGGGCCCACAUGCCUGUAUGGCCCACACACCAAACUCGGCUUAGCCCAUGUGGCCCACACGGCCACAUUCGAGCCACCACACGGUAGUGUCUUGCACACUGUCAUGCUUACGUCGAUCACACGGUCAUGUCUUCGCACACGGCUUACCAUACAGGUGACCACACGCCCGUGUGGUGCUGACAUAAUAGUUUUUUGGCUUUUGUCGAAACCUCGUUUUCUGUGAUUCGGGUAGACUCCUGGUACGAUACGAAACCACUCCUGAAGCCUUCAAAACCUAUAACAUAGCGUUCAAAAGUUAAAUUAGCAGUCGAUUACGAAUUGAUACAUAACCCGAAAUAACGCAUAAGACUUACCGACUACUCAAACAGACCCAAGUGCAAUUUAGGCUAUCAAAACAAAACUUCACCAAACACCACAUUCUCCUGUACCAUAAACAUGUAGAAAUCAACCCCUUAACUUACAUCUCAAAAUGCCAACACCAACGAGUUGUAAAACUAUGCUGCAGAUACUAAAAUCUCACUUACCAGUAUAUCGCAAAAACACAGAAUUAACGAGAAGCAGAAAUACGAUCCAAAAGGAAAAGAGAAACUAAAGGAGGAAGAGGAAAAAAGGAAUAAUGGUAGAGACAAAAACUAACGUCAGAUGUUCAUAGGGGGAGAGAAACAAAUUUUUUUUCAAUAUCCUGAUAACUCCCCACUAAUUCACAUAACCACCCACUACUCAGAUUUGUAAUAGAACUGAAACUCUAUCACAGAGCCGAGCAAAAAUAAUAAUUCGCACACUCGCGUAGGGAUUCUAACACCAGACCUCCAACACACCAAUUCCCUUACCACUUGAACCAGCAGGCUCAUUCUUAUAUGAAUUUACAGAUUUUAACGGCCCAAUUUUAGUGAAAUCAGAACAGUGGUUUUGUGACCACAAAUUCAAGCUAAAAAGAAAAUUUUAUUUUAAUAUUAUGGCAUGGUCUAUAUUAUGAUAGAAAGGUGGCAUGAAAAUUUUGAUAAGAAAAUUUUAUUGGUUUUGUAGUUAAUUGAUUAAAAAAGACCAAAUAAAAAAAAUGCAUUUCUGAGACUCCGCUCCGGUAAAUUGAAUUCAUAAAUAUUUUUAAUAAAUAUUGACGAAGCUAGUUGUGUAGUUAAUUAGGUUUUGAUUAGGUGAAUUUGACUUAAUUAGGAGUAAUUAUGAAAAAUGACUAAAUUGCAUAAAGGGUAAAAGUUUAAUUAUAGAUUAAAGAAAGUUAAAAGGACCAAAUAGAAAAUUAUGCCAAUUAAAAAGGUUGAGUAUUAUAUUUUAUAUAUUUUAUUAUUACUUAAUGAUAAAGAAUAAUAUUAUAUUAUAUCAUAUUAUUAUAUUAUUAUAUUAUAAUAUAUUAUUAUCAUUAAAUAUAAAACAAAGCAAAUGAAAAAGAACAAAAUAGAAUAGCAAAACGAAACAGGGGAAUGAAAGAAAGAAAAAAAAAGAAAGAAAGAAAAAGGAAAGGGAAAAUAGGGAUUUCAAGGGUUCAAACUUAAAUUGAUUCAGAAAACUCAAAUAUGAAGCUAGAUUGAGGAAAGGAAAAAGUCCCAGAUUAGUAGACUUUUGUAUACAAACAAGUAUCGAGGUAAGUUCGUGUAACUUGAUAUUGAUUCUUGAAAUGUUUGGAUUGUAUGAUUAUGUGAUAUGAAUGUUAAUUAAAUAUUUAAUAUAUAUAAAAAAUGAUUGUAUGUUCAUUAUGACUUGAGAAAAGAGAUAAGUCCAGGUUGGAUGAAGGAAAUUCGAUGGAAUAUUGUAAAGGUGAUUCUGCAUAUGUUGUAGACAGGAUUUAGCUCGGAUGAGUAAUCCUGAUAAGUCUCUCAGGCAUUAUGAGAUAAAGUUCCAUAAGUAUAAUGAUUGGUAGUAUUUCGCAUAAGUUGCGGACUACCGUAGCUCUGUGUGAGCAUCGAAGCAUACGAAUUGCCUAAAUGAUUUAAAUAGGGUAGCUCGAGAGUUACGUACACUUUAAGUGUACUAUACGAGAGUAUGCAUCGAUACUGCAAUAAAUUCAACGGGCAAAACUUGGAAAUGGUUAAUGGGUUUGAAUGAAUUUCCCUUGAAAAUGUAUAUCUGGUAUGGAAUUAUAAGCAAGUAUAAAUUAUGACAUGAUGAGCUCAUUUAUUUGAUGAUAUUAUGUGUAAUUGCUUGACUAACUUUGAUGAUAAAGUUGUAUGUGAUAGGACAAUGAAUUAUUUGCUUGAAUACAUGCAUGUUUGAUUAAAUUUAAUGGAAACACUUGGUAAGUUAGUUUCUGGUUACAUGAACUUACUAAGCAUUAAAUGCUUACUAGGUUUUAUUUUCUAUGUUUUAUAGUGCUCGGAAGCUUGAGAAGGUUGGAGAUAAAUCGGAGCAUCAUCACACUAUCAACCUACUCAUUUUGGUAUACAAAAAUGUUUUUAUUUUGGUAUAAUGGCAUGUAUAGACUACUAGUACCAAUGUUAAUGAUGAAUUGGAUGAAUGUAAUCUAGUCAUUGGAAUGGCUAGUAAUGACUUGAUUUUGGUAUGUUUAUAAAGUAAAUUAUGGUUAUACAUGUAUGCUUCGUACAUUUUGGGUUAAUUAGAUUUAACCAUGUAUGUUAUGGAAAGGUAAGAUAUGAGUUAAGAUUGUAAGUAUACAUAUCAUGUUAAAUGUGUGAAAUUGGCUUGUAAAUCAUGCUUGAAUUGGUUGAUUAGUAUUGGGAAAGUUUUGUGCAGGUUUUGGAUAAAAUGGGUGAGAAAUAAGGCUUGAAAAAUAGCCUUAUUUUGCCCACACGGAUGUGUGACUCCUAUAAGUAAGAAAAUUUUAGAAGUUUACGGAAAUAUUCUCCGAGAUCCUGAUUAGUCCCGAAUCGAUUCUUAUGCCUGUUUUGGGCCUCAAGGGUCUAUUUAAGGGACAUUAAGACUAAUCUCAAGAAAUGAAUAGUGUUUGACUCAAUUUAUAUGAAAAUGUUUUGUAAACUCUGAUAAUGUCUUAUGACCCUGUUUUGGCGAUGGAUACAGGGUAGGGGUGUUACACAGAUAAUUAAAUAUAAGCCCACUGAACAAGGAUAAGUCUUAGAUCCAAAAAUAACCACAAUUUUCCAAAAAUAAAGCUUGAACCCAACACCUCUCAGACACACUCAGAACACUUAACCACUGAAGCAGGUACACAAUUGUGUCGAAUUUUACAGAAACAAAAACAAGUAUGUCAGGGCGUUACAACUUUACCCUCUAAAAGAAAUUUCGACCUUGAAAUUUACCUAAUCAGAACAGAUGAGGAUACUGCUGACGCAUCAUGUCCUCAGGUUCCCACGUGGCUUCCUCAGUGUCAUGAUUCCUUCAUAGAACCUUCACUAACGGAAUGGACUUCCUCUUCAGAACCUAGAUGUCAUGAUCCAGAAUCUAAACCGACUCCUCUUCAAAGGUCAAAUCUGGCCUAACCUCGAUUUCCUCAACAGAAACAACAUGAGAAGGGUCAGACCAAUACCGCCUCAACAUCGAAACAUGGAAGACAUCAUGGAUAUGGUCCAACUCUGGGGUGUAGCUCCAAAUGAUAAGCAACCAGUCUCACACGCUUCAAAAUCCGAUACGGCCAAAUGAAUCUAGGGCUCAAUUUGCCCUUACAACCGAAUCUCAGAACUUUCUUUCACGGAGAAACCUUAAGAAAGACAAAGUCCCCCAUAGAAUACUCAAUAUCGCGGCUCUUUAGAUCUGUAUAAGACUUCUGCCUAUCAGAAGCCGCCUUCAGUCGAUCCCGAAUUAGCCUAACCUUAUCUUCGGUCUCAGAAACCAACUCAGGACCCAAAACCUGAUGUUCACCCAACUCAGUCCAACACAGCGGAGUACGACACUUACGACAAUAUAGCGCCUCAUAAGGUGCCAUCUGAAUGCUAGAUUAGAAGUUGUUAUUGUAGGCAAACUCUGCUAACGGUAGAUAAUCCUCCCAAAUACCUCAAAAAUCAAUCACGCAACUCUGAAGCAUGUCCUCCAAUAUCUAAAUCACCCUCUCCGAUAGACCAUCUACCUGAGGAUGGAACGUAGUACUGAAGUCCAACCUCGAACCCAGAGGCUCAUGCAACUUUUUCCAAAACCAAGAUGUAAAGAGAGGACCCCUAUAAAAAAUUAUCGAAACAAGUACACCAUUAAGUCCCACAAUCUCCGAAAUGGAGAGCUUCGCUAGCUUCUGCAGAGAAUAGUCCGUCCGAAUCGGAAUGAAGUGAGCAGACUUGGUCAAUCAAUCCACGAUGACCCAAACAGAGUCCUUCUUAGUAGGUGUUAAGGGCAACCUAAUAAUAAAUUCCAUCGUCACACGUUCCCAUUUCCAUAAGGGAAUCUUAACUGGCUGCAACAAACUGGAAGGCAACUAAUGCUCAGCCUUAACUUGCUGACACGUCAGACAUCGAGCAAUAAAAUCAUUAACCUCACACUUUAAACUCGGCCACUAGUACAGCUCAUGGAGAUCCCGGUAUAUCUUAUUACCACCGGGAUGCAUAGUAUAAAGGCUAUUAUGCGCCUCCCUCAGAAUCGAUUGCCUCAAAUCAGAGUCAUUCGGCACACAGAUUCGUUGUCGAAAACGUAGCACACCAUCACCAUUUAGCCCAAAAUCUGAAGUACUGCCACUCUUAAUCUGACGGAACUUUAAACCCACAGUCUCAUUCCCUAACUAUUUAUCUCAAAUAUGCUUCGUCUAAGUUGACUUAACUUGCAACUCGGCUAACAGACUCCCAUUAUCAAACAGACUAAGGAGAGCAAACAUCGCCCUUAAAUCAGACAUUGCUCUACGACUUAGAGCAUCUGCCACUACAUUGGCCUCACCAAUAUGAUACUCUAUGGUGCAGUCAUAAUCAUUAAGCAGCUUAAUCCAUUACCGUUGCCUAAGGUUCAACUCUUUCUGAAUAAGGAGAUACUUGAGGCUCUUGUGAUCGGUAUAGAAAAUACACCUCUUACCAUACAGAUAAUGCUUCCAGAUUUUCAACGCAAAGACUACUGCAGCCAAUUCCAGAUCAUGCGUCGGAUAAUUCCCCUCGUGUGUCUUAAGUUGUCUAGAUACAUAAGCCACCACCUUACCCUCUUGCAUCAACACACAUCCUAAACCGACGUGCGAUACAUUACUGUACACCACAAACUCCUUACCAGGUUCAGGUUGUAUAAAAAAACAAGAGCUUGAGUCAGAACAGACUUCUGCUUCUCGAAGCUCGAUUGUUGUUCCUUAGUCCAAACAAAUGGCACACCCUUACGAAGAAGCUUAGUCAAGGGAGUUGGAACCAAAGAGAAUCCCUCAACAAAUCGACGAUAAUAACCCGCCAAACCUAGAAAACUGCAGAUCUCAAACAAAUUCUUGGUUGUUUCCAAUCCAGUACAACCUCAAUCUUCUUUGGAUCUACACAAAUCCCCUUAGCAGACACUACAUGCCUCAAGAAGGUUACCUUUCACAACCAGAACUCACACUUACCCAACUUAGGGUAAAGCUAUUUUUUUUUGAAGAAUCUGAAACACCACUCUAAGAUGUUCAUCAUGCUCACCCUCAGUCUUAGAGUAAACUAGAAUGUCGUCGAUGAAGACCACAAUGAACUGAUCCAGAUAAGGCUAAAACACUCAGUUAAUCAAAUUCAUGAAUGUGGCCGGAGCAUUCGUCAGACCAAAAGGCAUAAAUAGGAAUUCGUAAUGUCCAUAUCAAGUUCUAAAUACAGUCUUGUGCACAUCAGCUUCCUUAACCCUCAACUAAUGAUACGCAGAUCGAAGAUCAAUCUUAGAGAACACUGAUUCCCCUUGGAACUGAUAAAAUAAUUCGUCGUUCCUCAGAAGCGAAUACUUAUUCUUCACAAUCAACUUAUUCAGCUACCAACAAUCAAUACACAUCCUUAUGGUCCCAUCUUUUUUCUUAACAAUAAAACGGAUGCCCCCUACCGAGACAUACUAGGACAGAUAAAACCACGGUCUAGAAGUUCUUGAAGUUGAACCUUAAGCUCUGUAAGCUCUUUUGGUGCCAUACGGUAGGCAGCGAUAGACAUCGGAGCUGUACCCAGAGGAAGCUCAAUCUCUAACUUAACCUUUCGGUUCAGGGGUAAACCAGGUAACUCCUCAAGAAAAACAUUCGGAAAACCCUUUACAAUUCUAAUAUUCCUAACAAAAGAGUCCCCAAAACCAGAAACACUGACGUAAGCCAAGUACGUCUCACACCUCUUUUCAAACCAAUUUUUUAACCACAAGAUCGGAGAUCACAUUGGACAGAUAAUCUUGACGCUCGCCGAUCACGACCACUUCCUUAUCAUCCCCAGUCCUCAGAACAACCCUCUUAGUCGCGCAGUCCAAACUACCUCGGUGCUUGACCAACCAAUCCUUGCACUUCUAACGGAACAUACCUAGUAAACCCGAAAAAAUAGGUCAAACGGGCUUAGUAAAGUGAUCUCACUAGAAGUACUCUCAACGAUAACCCCUAAGUUUUUAUAUACAGUGCUAGCUAAAUAGGAGUGUAUAGAACCUAUGUCUAUAAGAGCAGUAUAAGGUACAUCAAAAAUUAAGAACGUACCGGUGAUAACAUCUGGAGCAUUUCUGUCCUCUCAACGUCGAGUAGCAUAGACAAGUACAGGUUGCCUCACCUCUAUCUGAUUAGCACCUCUGUUCAGUGCUCUCUGUCCACGGCUCAAAUCAUUACCACCCCUAGCCGCUCUACGGCCCCUAGGUGGCUACUGAACUUCCCUCUGAGACUGUACAGAACUCGGAGCUUGUAUCUGAUUUACUCGCUGUGGACAGCCUCUAAUACGAUACUCUAAAGAUCCACACCUCAAACAGGCCACAAUCCUCCUCCAACACUCGUCCGGAUGGCGCCUACCACAAUCAUCACAUGGUUGUAACCCAGUUGGAGCAACAUGACCCCCAUUCUAACUGGCCCAUCAGAUCUGGCCUUUUCCUUAGGCCUUAGAAUAGAACUAGAGGGCUUUGAACCCUUCUUAUUCUUACCCCUUUCACGGUCUCUGUUCUGGCAUUCCAUGCGCUUAACAUCCUGGCUAUCUUCGCCUUCUCAACUAGAACAGCGAACUCACGCUCCCUCUGUAAAGCAAUUUGUACCCUCAGAUUAUCCCUCAGUCCAUCCUCAAAAUGAAUACACCUCUCAUUCUCAGAUGCCACCAUGCCUCAAGCAUAGCGGUUUAACCUCAGAAAUUCAGCCUCAUACUCGGCCAUGGAUCUAUCCCCUUGCGUGAGAUUCAUGAACUCACGCCUACGAAUAUCCACAUAGCUCACUCCCACAUACUUUGAAACGUGGCAUUAAAGAAAUCCCAAGUCAAACGAUUAGGUUGAGUACCCUCUUUAACCGUUAACCACCACUGAUAUACCUCGUCACGAAGCAAGGAGACUGCACCCUUGAAUUUCUACUCGGGAGUGUAAUCUAAGUUGUUUAUAAUCCUCUGUGUGGCCUCCAAUCAGUACUCGGCCACACUAGGGGCGACUUCACUGACACCCCUAAACAACUCAGCACCAUUGGACCGGAGUCAUUCAGUUACCGACCCUCAGCCCCCAACUCCAGAAUAGGGUCUAGCGACCCUCUCCAAUAUCCUCAGCAUAACUUAGGACAGUGCGUCGUCCUCAGCCGAGAGACUAUGAGACCCAAUCUCGGUAGCAGACGAAACUGAUGUCUCACUUGUAUCUAAAUUCAGUAUGCUCUCCAGAGAGAAAGACUCAGCUCGAGCCCCCUAUAGCCUCUACCAUGGCCACGAGUACCACGUCCGCAAGCUCCAUGAGUACUCAUAGUGUAAUUUAAAUUUUAUCUACAUUAAAAAGUUUUAUGCAUCUGUUCCAGUUGUUUAUUAACAGAUGUUUUAUGCAUAAAUUAUCAGAAGUUUAGAAAUGUUUUCAGAAGUUUUAGUUUCUAACUAUUUUAGUACAGUUUUCAGUAAGUGCUAUCUACAGUGUUUUCAGAACAGUUCUAACCAAUUUUCAAAAAGACAUACAGGAUCGGCGCCGGAAACUCAGUGUACCACAUACUCUCUCAAUUAUUCAAAACAUUUUAAAUCUGAUACUUUAAAAAAAACAAGAUUUUGGAAUCCAAAAUUUACAGCCGAGUUUUGCAACCUAACUCUGAUACCACUAAAUGUAACACCCCAAACCUAGCCUAGAUGUUAUGGCCCAAUCCGGAGACGUCACAAAGAAUGGGUUUUGAAAACAAGUUGCUUCCAUUACCUUAUCACUAAUAAAACUCAAAUUCCUUCAUGUUUAUUACAGAAAACAUUAAUUUAACCGUCUAUUUGCCGAAACACUUAUCACAGCGAAAGUUAAACAAAACUAAAAUAUUUUAGAAAUCUAUUUCGUAUUUUUAAAAAAUCUCUUUCUGGCGUAAAAUCCAUUCCGUAAAAUCUUUUAUCAAGCAUGUAACAAACUGAGCAUAUCAGACCAAUUCAAGUUAAAAACAAAAACAACUCAAAGAGUCCUAAAAAUUACAAACUCUCAAAAUUAAAUCCCAAACUAUUAGUAAACCAUUAAUUAAUAAAUCUAAACAGUUUUAUAGAAGAGUGGUCACCGUUGAGUCCCUGCUGCACCGAUCCUCCUAAGAUUGUGGAUCACCUGACAGUACAGACAAACAUAUGUGAGUUUACGUAAACUCAGUGUGUAACCCAGCAAAAUUAGGCAUGCAAUCAUACAGAAUCAUAUACACAGUCGAAAAUAGAUACAGAUACAGAUUCGGGCUCAAGCUCAUUUCAGUUACAAAUAUAAUAAAUAGAAUCAAACAAUCAGAAUCCUACCCCAAUCCUCUACAUACCAUCCCCGACCAUCCCAACACACCAUGUGAGAUUAAAAACACCUACCCAUCCCUACACACCAGGUUGUGCUAUUACGACACGUAUCAGAUAUUGUACAGCCAAGCUGAUAGAUAAUAGGUAAUGAUCGUCAUGCAGAACACUUCCUCCAUCGAUAAAAACCUACCCAAAAUCAUAUACAUAAUAAAUACAGAAUACAUACUAGACAUGCUCAACAUACUGUGUACAGAGCCCAACAUAAUCAGAUAUGUAUGGCAUAAUCAUACUCAAAAUAGAUUAUCAGUCUAUUAUAUCAGUCGAUUGGGAUGACCCGUGCAAACCUCGGAAAAAUUUUAGAAAUUUAGGCCCACAUGCCCGUGUGGCCCACACGGCUGGUGCAAAAAACCACAUGCCCGUGUGUCAUACCCGUGUGGGCUCACACGCCAACUCAGCCUAGCCCAUAUGGCCCACACGGCCACACUUGAGCCACUACACAAUCAUGUCUUACGCACAGCCAUGCCUACGUCAAUCACAUGGUCGUGUCUUCGCAAGCGGCCUACCACACGGGUGACCACACGCCUAUGUGGCAUCGACAGAACAAUUUUUGGCUUUUGUCAAAACCUCGUUUUUUACGAUUUGGGUACACAUUUGGUACGAUUAUGUUACGAAACCACUCCUGAAGCCCUUAAAACCUAUAACAUAGCAUUCAAAUGUUCAAUUAACAGUCAAUUACAAAUUGAUACAUAACUUGAAAUAACGCACAAGACUUACCGAUGACUCAAACAGACCCCAACGCGACUUAGGCUAUCAAAACGAAACUUCACCGAACACCACAUUCUUCUGUACCAUAAAUAUGCAGAAAUCAGUCCCUUAACUUACAUCUCAAAACGCCAACACCAACGAGUUGUAAAACUAUGCUGCAUAUACUAAAAUCUUACUUACCAGAAUAUUGUGAAAACACCGAAUUAAUGAGAAGCAGAAAUAUGAUCCAAAAGAAAAAGCAGAAAUGAAAUGAGGAAGAGGAAAAAAGAAAUAAUGGCAGAGACAAAAACUAACGUCAAAUGUUCUUAGGGAGAGAGAAACAAUAUUUUUUUUCAAUAUCCUGAUAACUCCCCACUAAUUCGCAUCCUAACCACCCACUACUCAGAUUUCUAAUAGAAUUGAAACUCUAUCACAGAGCCGAGCAAAAAUAAUAAUUCUCACGUAGGGAUUCAAACACUAGACCUCUAACACACCAAUUCCCUUACCACUUGAACCAGUAGGCUCAUUCUAAUAUGAAUUUACAGAUAAUUAAAUAUAAGCCCACUGAACAAGAAUAAGUCUUAAAUCCAAAAAUAACCACAAUUUGCCAAAGAUGAGACUUGAACCCAAGACCUCUCAAAUACACCCAGAACACUUAACCACUGAAGCAGAUACACAAUUGUGUCGAAUUUUACAGAAACAAAAACAAGUAAAUCAGGGCGUUAAUGGAAUUCAUAGCACAAUAAAUGGUAAAUAAUAUUCUCUCAUCACCAUUACAUGAUAGAUGGAAAGUAAUGUUGUGGUCACAAGUCAUUUAUCUUAGAGAUAAAUAAUUUAAUUACUAUUUGUUAGUAAUUGACUUUUUAUUAAGAAAUAUGUAAUGAUUAUCGUGAGAUAAAAUAUGAUCAUAUUCGGAGAACGAAUUUAUCCUAAAAAAAUUAAGGGUAUCUUAUGAGAGUAAUACACAUAUGAUAAGGUCAUUGGAUAAGGUUCUUUCGUAAUGGUAUAUAAUUAGAGAGAGCUCAGUCAUGAUACUUUAGUGGAAUGACUUCAUAACUAAAUAAUAUUGUAAUUAAUAGACGAAGAGUUAGAAAUUAAUUAUAAAUUAUUUGAGCCCUACUUAUAUAUAUCCAAUUGGUUCCUCUGCUAGCUCAGUAUAACCUUGAAGGUUUACAUUAAUUAAUGAAAUGAAACUUAGUGAAAUAACUAAUUAGAAAAUUAGAUUGCAUGUAUAACCAUCUGUAGUGAAUCUGUUUUCUGGCUAUAAACAAAAAAAUGGCUAGGUAAUUAAUUAAUGAAUUUGAAUUGUUAUUUUAUUAAACAUUUGAAGUUUGAAGUGGAAAUUAAUUAAUAAAGUCAUCAUAGUUUCAUAAGAACAAGUUAGUCAAAUUAUUUACUCUUAGAUUCUAAUACGAUAAAAUUGUCAUAAUUUUAACAAAAUUAGAAUUUGAUUAAGAAAAUAAUAUAAUUAGUUUAAUUAAUUAAAAAUAAUAAAUAACAUUUUUGGUAUAGAAAAAAUAUUUAUUGGUCUAAGAAAAUUAUAUGAGUUGAUUUAAAGACUAUAUAAAACAUGUAAUUGACCUAAUAAAUGAAAAGACCCAAAUAGGCCCAAUAUAAAAAGGAAGGGCGGCAAAUCCUAGUCCCAUAAGUGGCUUGUUGUUGCCCACCCGAUAACACUCUAUAGAUGAGUUAUUUUUUCUAUUAAAAUAAAACUUAUUCAAUUGAAACUCAUGUUAUUUUCUCUAUCUAUAGAUAUUAAGUUUUAGACCAAAUAAAUAUAUAUAAAGACGUCGAUAUUCUAUUAAAAUAUAGAACAAUUAUUCUUAUUAUAUUCUAUCUUUUGAUGAGAAUUGAGCCCACGUUCUAGCAAACCAAGACCAAUGAUAACGAAAAUGGUCUAUUGGUAAAAAGCCAAAAGCAAUCUAUUCCGCCUAAAAGAGAACUUAGGUAUAAUCUUAAUAAAUGGGUUUGUUUUCAUUAACAUCAGACUAGUUGGUUUUGAAAUGAAUUUUUAAAAUUUUGCUGUCACUAUUUCGUUGUUUUUUAAUUCGAUUUUUCCAACAUAAAGCUCAUUCUGAAAAGUAGGAAAAUUGAAAAGAAAAGUAGAAGAGAAAAGUAACAAUAAUGAAAAAAAAGGAACAGAAAAAAGAGAAAUGAAAAUUUAAAGAAAAAAAAGAGGAAAAUAAGCGAAAACAAUCGAUUAGGAGACGAAAUGAGCAAUCAAAUGUUUAAAUAAUUUCUCAUGAUUCUGUUACCCUUUGAAUGAAAUUUUGAGCCUUAGACAUCAUUUCUUUGUUAACCAUUAUCCCCUAGACCACAUUACAACCCUGAGAAAGACCAUCUUUGAUCAAACAUGGUUAUUUAAAUUAAGCAGUCUUAGAAUUAAUGUGAGAAUUGUAAAAUUUCGACUAAAACAUUAAAAUUUUGAAAAGCAAAAGAACAAAAAUUUGCAAUUUGGGGUUUCAAUGUGAAAUCUUGAUCAGAUUGAGGUGAAUGUUAUGCUAUCAUAAGUUGUGAUUUUUAAGUGGUUAGAAGUUUUGGAGCUUCAUUGUCAUGACUUAUCAAUGAGAAUCUGAGUUGUCUUGGACCGAAGUUUGCCUCCCAAGAAUUGGGCUUUUUUCCUUUUUGAUUACAAGAUUAUAAAGUGGAGAGUUAGUUGAAAGUUUGGCUUCAGAUGUCAUUUGAUUGUUUUUGAAGUUCAUUAUACUAAUUCAUCUUCUAAAUAAAUUCUUUGUUAGAAAAUGGCCCUCCAUGCAGCACGGGCACCAGCAAGCAAAUCGAGCAGCAAGAAGCUGGCCAAGCACACCGAGCCAUGCAGGAGCAGCUGAACCAAGUGCAGCUGCUGCCAUUUAGUUCAUUUUGGUUCAUUUUGUUCUUUUUGGUUGUUGUAAUGUAAUCUUGUUCAUUUUGAACUAUGCUAGUUUGAAGAUUGAUGUAAUUAGGUGGUGAUUGAGCUGAAAAUCAGCUUUGCCUAUAUGUACAAGUUAAUUUGCCAAGUUUCAAUGUAUUUUAGUGGUGUUAGGUGAAAGUUUAGGUAAAAUUUGAUUGUAUUGUUUAACUUAUGUUUCAUAUAUAUAAUGGCAUCAUGCCAACUUCAAAUGCUCAAUGAAAAUAAUAAACAUUUUCAUUCAAACACACUCUCUUUUCUUGCUUCUCUGUUCUAUUCAAAAUUUCUAAAAUUUCUUAAGCAAAAUUGGUUGUUUGCUGUAUAAGCCUCAAGCCUUGAAGCUCAAAGCUUUUGUUAACCUUGUUACUUCAUCUGGAUAAGUUGCUUUCAACACCAACAUUCUUGUCCUAAUGAUAUAUAAGACCCUUUUUUUAUUGACUCAGAUUCGACACUCUAUUCCAUAUUAUAUCCUGUUAUUCAUACUCCCUUUUAAGGCUCUCCCAUAUGAGUGAAAAUGUGAUCCUUCAUUUUUAAUUGGAAAAUAAAAAUCAUCGUUUGAAUAUUCCAAGAAAAGUUGAAGAAAAAAAAAAGAAAAGAAAGAAGAGAAACAUGAAUCUUUUGCAUAACGUUCUCAAAGUUCAGCAUGAUUGUGAUGAUUUCAUUUUGAUAAUUUCAUAUUGUGUGUAAAUUGCAUUCCUUUUGAUAAUUUCAUUUCAUUUCCAUUUUAAAUAAUAGUUGUGAGGUCUUAUUGCCACUGAAACAGCAAGCUUGCUGUUUUAUGAAUGUUAUUUUUUAAAUCAAAUAGAACACUUCUUUUGUCAAUUAGUAGAAUGCAAUGAAAAACUGAAUAUCUUUAUCAAAAAGAUUUGGGCAAAUGCAAUGCAAAAUCUAAACCAAAGUGUUUUUUAUUAUUUUGAUGGGUGUGGGAUGCUCCUUAUUUGAGAGGCAUGCAUAAAUAAAAUGUAAAUGAUACUUAAGGCUACAACCUUAAGAACUGCUACCCCUUUUUUUUCAGGAAUAGGAAGUCAAGUAGGUGAGGAGAACAAGUUCAUCUCCAACCUUAGAAUAUUAAGUUACUUAAGAAACUAAAUCAGUUAACCAACAUCAGGCUCUGGGACUCAAAGAAAGAGUAAUAUCUUGGAAGACCUUAAGCCUCUUAUCAGUUUUCUUUGGAAACAUCCUUUGAGUCACUGCUUCAUUUGCUGGGCCUAGAACUGCAGCUGAAAUGAUAGCCUCCUCAAAGUCUUGGCUAUCUGGUAAUAAAUCAGCCAAUUUGUCUCCUUUCUCUUUAGUUGAAAGAGAGAGCCUUCUUCUUGUCUUAAUCUCUGGUUUUUCCAGUUCUUCAGAUAAAGGCUUUGUGCAGUCUUCACCCAUUUCAUUCACUCUCAUAGAGUUAGCUGAGUUUCCUGACCGUGUUCUUUUAAGGGUCUCAUGCAAUUGAUUCACAACUGGAGCUUUCACCUCCUUCACCAGCUUUGAUGAGUAAAAGGGCGGUGCAUCGAUAUUUAGAGAAUUUCCGAAAGGAAGAGCGACUGGUUUUGGUUGAGAAAUCACCACCUGGUUUAUCAUUACAUUCGAUUUGAUGUUCUCAUCAGCAAAAUCAUCUUGGGGUUUAACUGCAUUUGAUUUUGGCAAGCUGAUGGGGUCCUUGCAAGGUUGAGGUUGCCAAAUUGAUGAAGAACCAAGGAAGGCGUCAAAGAGCCGGCUUUGUUCGACCCGAUCCCCUCCUCCUUUAUUCAUCAUCUCCGACUCAAGAUCCUGGAGCAUCUGCUGUGCCCUCUCAUAGGCCUUAAGAUGGGAAUCUACCCCUCUUGGUCCAUCAGCCACUGCUGGUUUCACUCUCCGCAAGGUUUCUUUAGCCUCCCCAAUUCUACCUUGCUUCAUCAAACAAAUACCUAGGUUACACAUUUUGUUAUUAUCGGCAGCAAUCGAAAGUGCCCGCCGAUAAGCAUCUUCUGCUUCGAUAUAGUUGUUUUGCUGCAUCAAUG